UUUUUUCUAGGUGCAACACCAAACUUUAUCAAACUGACCUUGGUUGAUUUCUCAACUUAUAGUGACCAAAGACAACGUAGAAAGGCCAAUGGUAUUCAUAAGAAGCAUCAUUUUUUCUUCGUUUGCUCUUACUAGAAUCUGUUUUGUUUACUUGCUUACAAUCAUGAACAGUUACCAUACUAUUCGUUAAUCCUUGUAACUAGCAAGGCUAGCGAGACAGAGAAUCUCACUAUCUAAGUUGGGGACCAAAACCAAGUUCUCUAAAUAUGUGCAGGUACUGAUCAUUGACCAUAUAUAGUUAGGUGCUCCAUCAGAUUGAUAACCUUGGUUCUUCACUGAGGGGAAUAUUUGCUGCUCACCGCAAACCCUUGCUCUUGAUGGCCCAACAACUAUGUUCAAAAUAAAAAAAUAGCUAGGAAUUGUUGGGGAACGUAGUAUUUCAAAAAUUUGCCUACGAUCACGCAAGAUCUAUGUAGGAGAAGCAUAGCAACGAGCGGGGAGAGUGUGUCCACGUACCCUUCUAAACCGAAAGCGGAAGUGUUAUAUCAACGCGGUUGAUGUAGUCGUACGUCUUCACGAUCCGACCGAUCCUAGCACCGAACGGACGGCACCUCCGUGUUCAGCACACAUUCAGCUCGAUGACGUCCCUCAUACUCUUGAUCUAGUUGAGGCCGAGGGAGAGUUCCAUCAGCACGACGGCGUGGCGACGGUGAUGAUGAUGUUACCGGCAUAGGGCUUCGCCUAAGCACUACGAUGAUAUGACCGAGGUGUGUUUCUGUGGAGGGGGGCACCGCACAUGGCUAAAGAUCAACUUGUGUGUCUCUGGGGUGCCCCCCUCCCCACGUAUAUAAAGGAGGGAGGGGGAGGCCGGCCGUCCCUUGCUAGGCGCGCUGGGAGAAGGGGAAUCCUACUAGGACUCCAAGUCCUAGUAGGUUUCCACCUAAAGGAGAAGGGGGAAGGAAGGGAGAGGGGGGCGCGCCCCCAACCCCUUGUCCAAUUCGGACUAGGCUUUGGGGGGCGCGCGCCACCUCCUGGCCGCUGCCUCUCCUUCCCGCUAAGGCCCAUCAACUCCCCAGGGGGUUCCGGUAACCUCUUCGGCACUCCGGUUUUACCCGAAACCAUACGGAACACUUCCGGUGUCCGAAUAAAAUGGUCCAAUAUAUCAAUCUUUAUGUCUCGACCAUUUCGAGACUCCGCGUCAAGUCCGUGAUCUCAUCCGGGACUCUGAACAACCUUCGGUACAUCAAAUCACAUAACUCUUAAUACAAAUCGUCAUCGAACGUUAAGCAUGCGGACCCUACGGGUUCGAGAACUAUGUAGACAUGACCGAGACACACCUCCGGUCAAUAACCAAUAGCGGAACCUGGAUGCUCAUAUUGGCUCCUAUAUAUUCUACGAAGAUCUUUAUCGGUCAAACUGCAUAACAACAUACGUUGUUCCCUUUGUCAUCGGUAUGUUACUUGCCCGAGAUUCGAUGGUCGGUAUCCUCAUACCUAGUUCAAUCUCGUUACCGACAAGUCUAUUUACUCGUUCCGUAAUGCAUCAUCCCGUAACUAACUCAUUAGUCACAUUGCUUGCAAGGCUUAUAGUGAUGUGCAUUACCGAGAGGGCCCAGAGAUACCUCUCCGAUAUACGGAGUGACAAAUCCUAAUCUCGAUCUAUGCCAACCCAACAAACACCUUCGGAGACACCUGUAGAGCAUCUUUAUAAUCACACACUUACGUUGCGACGUUUAAUAGCACACAAGGUGUUCCUCUGGUAUUCGGGAGUUGCAUAAUCUCAUAGUCAGAGGAACAUGUAUAAGUCAUGAAGAAAGCAAUAGCAAUAAAACUAAACGAUCAUUAUGCUAAGCUAACGGAUGGGUCUUGUCCAUCACAUCAUUCUCUAAUGAUGUGAUCCCGUUCAUCAAAUGACAACACAAGUCUAUGGUUAGGAAACUUAACCAUCUUUGAUUAACGAGCUAGUCAAGUACAGGCAUAGUAGGGACACUCUGUUUGUCUAUGUAUUCACACAUGUACUAAAUUUCUGGUUAAUACAAUUCUAGCAUGAAUAAUAAACAUUUAUCAUGAUAUAAGGAAAUAUAAAUAACAACUUUAUUAUUGCCUCUAGGGCAUAUUUCCUUCAGUCUCCCACUUGCACUAGAGUCAAUAAUCUAGUUCACAUCGCCAUGUGAUUUAAUCACCAAUAGUUCACAUCACCAUGUGAUUAACACCCAUAGUUCACACCGCCAUGUGACAAACAUUCAAAAGGGUUUACUAGAGUCAAUAAUCUAUUUCACAUCGCCAUGUGAUUAACACCCAAAGAGUACUAAGGUUUGAUCAUGUUUUGCUUGUGAGAGAGGUUUAGUCAAUGGGUCUGCCACAUUCAGAUCCGUAUGUAUUUUGCAAAUUUCUAUGUCUACAAUGCUCUGCACGGAGCUACUCUAGCUAAUUGCUCCCACUUUCAAUAUGUAUCUAGAUCGAGACUCGGAGUCAUCCAGAUCGGUCUCAAAGCUUGCAUCGACGUAACUCUUUACGACAAACUCUUUAUCACCUCCAUAAUCAAGAAACAUAUCCUUAUUCCACUAAGGAUAAUUUUGAUCGCUGUCCAGUGAUCCACUCCUGGAUCACUAUUGUACCCUCUUGCCAAACUCAUGGUGAGGUACACAAUAGGUCUGGUAUACAGCAUAGCAUACUUUAUAGAACCUAUGGCUGAGGCAUAGGGAAUGACUUUCAUUCUCUCUCUAUCUUCUACCGUGCUUGGGCUUUGAGUCUUACUCAACUUCACACCUUGCAACACAGGCAAGAACUCCUUCUUUGACUGUUCUAUUUUGAACUACUUCAAAAACUUGUCAAGGUAUGUACUCAUUGAGAAAACAUAUCAAGCGUCUUGAUCUAUCUCUAUAGAUCUUAGAUGCUCAAUAUGUAAGCAGCUUCACCGAGGUCUUUCUUUGAAAAACUCCUUUCAAACACUCCUUUAUGCUUUCCAGAAAAUUCUACAUCAUUUCCGAUCAACAACAUGUCAUUCACAUAUACUUAUCAAAAAGGCUGUAGUGCUCCCACUCACUUUCUUGUAAAUACAGGCUUCACCGCAAGUCUGUAUAAAACUAUAUGCUUUGAUCAACUUAUCAAAGCGUAUAUUCCAACUCCGCGAUGCUUGCACCAAUCCAUAGAUGGAUCGCUGGAGCUUGCACAUUUUGUUAGCACCUUUAGGAUUGACAAAACCUUCUGGUUGUAUCAUAUACAACUCUUCUUUAAUAAAUCCAUUAAGGAAUGCAGUUUUGAUAUCCAUUUGUCAGAUUUCAUAAAAUGUGGCAAUUGCUAACAUGAUUCGGACAGACUUUAAGCAUCGAUACGAGUGACAAAAUCUCAGCGUAGUCAACAUCUUGAAUUUGUCAAAAACCCUUUCUGAAAAGUCGAGCUUUGCAGAUAGUAACACUACUAUCAGCGUCCGUCUUCCUCUUGAAGACCCAUUUAUUCUCAAUGGCUUGCUGAUCAUCGGGCAAGUCAACCAAAGUCCACACUUUGUUCUUAUAGAUGGAUCCCAUCUCAGAUUUCAUGGCCUCAAACCAUUUUGCGGAAUCUGGGCUCAUCAUCGCUUCCUCUGAAGGAAAUAUGCCCUAGAGGCAAUAAUAAAGUUGUUAUUUAUAUUUCCUUAUAUCAUGAUAAAUGUUUAUUAUUCAUGCUAGAAUUUUAUUAACCGGAAACUUAGUACAUGUGUGAAUACAUAGACAAACAGAGUGUCACUAGUAUGCCUCUACUUGACUAGCUCGUUGAAUCAAAGAUGGUUAAGUUUCCUAGCCAUAGACAUGAGUUGUCAUUUGAUUAACGGGAUCACAUCAUUAGAGAAUGAUGUGAUUGACUUGACCCAUUCCGUUAGCUUAGCACUUGAUCGUUUAGUAUGUUGCUAUUGCUUUCUUCAUGACUUAUACAUGUUCCUAUGACUAUGAGAUUAAGCAACUCCCGAAUACCGGAGGAACACUUAGUGUGCUACCAAACGUCACAACGUAACUGGGUGAUUAUAAAAGUGCUCUAUAGGUGUCUCUGAUGGUACUUGUUGAGUUGGCAUAGAUCGAGAUUAGGAUUUUUCACUCCGAUUGUCAGAGAGGUAUCUCUGGACCCUCUCGGUAAUGCACAUCACUAUAAGCCUUGCAAGCAAUGUGACUAAUGAGUUAGUUGCGGGAUGAUGCAUUACGGAACGAGUAAAGAGACUUGCCGGUAACGAGAUUGAACUAGGUAUUGAGAUACCGACGAUCGAAUCUCGGGCAAGUAACAUACCGAUGACAAACAGAACAAUGUAUGUUGUUAUGCGGUGAAAGAUCGUGGAUGUCGCCUAGAGGGGGGGGUGAAUAGGCGCUUUAAAAUAAUUACGGUUUAGGCUUGAACAAAUGCGGAAUAAACCUAGCGGUUAAUUUGUCAAGCACAAAACCUACAACAACUAGGCUCACCUAUGUGCACCAACAACUUAUGCUAAGAAAGAUAAACAACUAAGUGAUAGCAAGAUAUAUGACAAGAAACAAUAUGGCUAUCACAAAUUAAAGUGCAUAAGUAAAGGGCUCGGGUAAGAGAUAACCGAGGCACAUGGAGACGACGAUGUAUCCCGAAGUUCACACCCUUGCGGAUGCUAAUCUCCAUUUGGAGCGGUGUGGAGGCACAAUGCUCCCCAAGAAGCCACUAGGGCCACCGUAAUCUCCUCACGCCCUCGCACAAUGCAAGAUGCCGUGAUUCCACUAAGGGACCCUUGAGGGAGGUCAUCGAACCCGUACAAAUGGCAACCCUUGGGGGCGGUCACCGAACCCAUACACUUUGGCAACCCUUGGGGGCAGCCACCGAAACCCAUCAAAUUGCUCGGGGCAAUCUCCACAACCUAAUUGGAGACCCCGACACUUGCCCGGAGCUUUACACCACAAUGAUUGAGCUCCGAACACCACCAACCGUCAAGGGCGCCCAAGCACCCAAGAGGAACAAGCUCAAGGGUACCAAGCACCCAAGAGUAAUAAGCUUCUCAACUUGUAACUUCCACGUAUCACCGUGGAGAACUCAAACCUAUGCACCAAAUGCAAUGGCAAUGGCACAUGGAGUGCCCAAGUCCUUCUCUCCCAAAUCCCACCAAAGCAACUAAUGCUAUGGAGGAAAAUGAGAGGAAGAACAAGAAGGAGAACACCAAGAACUCCAAGAUCUGGAUCCAAGGGGUUCCCCUCACAUAGAGGAGAAAGUGAUUGGUGGAAAUGUGGAUCUAGAUCUCCUCUCUCUUUUCCCCACAAAACUAGCAAGAAUCCAUGGAGGGAUUGAGAGAUAGCAAGCUCGAAGAAGGUCAACAAUGGGGGGAGAACACGAGCUCAAAGGAUAAGGUUCAAUGGGGAAGAAGACCCCCUUUUAUAGGACCUCCCGAAUCCAACCGUUAUGUGCUCAGGUCGUGCACAAGCGGUACUACCACUUGGAGGAGCGGUACUACCGCUUAGCACGGUCAAAACAGCCCAACGAGAGAGAAAAACACGAGCUGUAGUUCUGCCAGAGAGGUAGUACCGCUCUGGGGAGAGGUAGUACCGCUUACCACUUAUAAGAGGUACUACCGCUCUGGAGGAGAGGUAGUACCGCUUACCACUUAUAAGAGGUACUACCGCUCAGGUGGAGAGGUAGUACCGCUUACCGCUUAUAAGAGGUACAACCGCUCUACUACCGCGAAACCCGACAUGAAAACAUGCAUCCCUAGAAGCAGCGGUAGUACGCACGGCACAUGGCCACGGUACUGCCGCUUACAAGUGGUACUACCGCUCUAGAGAGCAGUACUACCGCUUGAGGCUUUCAAGAACACAACAGAGAAAACAAAGGAUGCAAUAAAUCCUAAACUGCCACAACUUCUGCAUAUGAGCUCCGAAUUGAGCAAACUCAAGCUUGUUGGAUAGAAGACGACGAGUAGCAUCCAACAGCGGCUGAUUAUAGUAAGAAGUGGCAAGGGAGGUACGCCUAACAAAUAGAGGAGAUAAACCUCAAACAGAGAAGAACCAGCAUAACCUCCAACAUCGAAAACAUCAUAGAAGAUGCACAUGAACUCCGUUCUCGAUGAACUCGAGCUUGUCAAGAAGAAGACCACAAGCUCUAAAAACUCACAAAGAGAAACACCAAACACGAACCAAGAAAGAUGACGCAAGGAUGCAAUGGUUUGAGCUCUCUACGAAUGAUACGAUCAAGCUACUCAUCGAGAGCCCCCCUUGAUAGUACGGCAAACGAACCUAUAACCCGGUCUCCCAACUACCACCAAGAGACCGGUAAAAUAGAAAACCUAUCAAGGGCAAACCUUUGCCUUGCACAAGGUCCACUUGAGCUAGAUGAUGACGAAGUUGACUCCCUCAAGAUGGACCACAUUUCUUGAUUGCGUUGGCUCGAUGAAGACUAGUUGAUUGCUCCACCAUACUCCACUAUGGGUGAGCCACUCUUCCACACAUCUUCACAAGUCCAUUUUCACCACAAUGGACGGCAAGCUUCAAGGAUGAUCUCUUCGUCAUGCUCCAUUUGAACUUGCACACCACAACCUAACCCCACAAAAAAACUCUCACGAAUACCAUGGGUUAGUACACAAAGUGUAAUAGACAAUGCUUACCAUACCAUGGGAUCACUUGAUCCCUCGGUACAUCUUGUACGCUUUCUGUGUUGAUCAACUUGAUUCACUCUUGACUUAAUCUUGAUCAACGUUGAAUCUUUCCAACUCUCUUCAUUUGGAUGAUGUCUUGAAGGUAGACAUGAAUGAUCACACAAGCUUCUUCUUCAAGACAUGCUUGCAAUAAGCUCAACACACACAUGACCAAUCUUUGGAUAAUUCCUUAAUAGCACCUUGGUCAACACAUAAACUCCUUGAAACCAACACAUGGACUUCAAGAAAUGCCUAUGGAAAAAUCCUUCAAAUGUAACUCAAAGCAACUAUUAGUCCAUAGAGAAUGUCAUCAAUUACCAAAACCACACAUGGGGGCACCACAUGUUCUUUCAUGCGGUUUGACCGAUAAAGAUCUUCGUAGAAUAUGUAGGAACCAAUAUGAGCAUCCAGGUUCCGCUAUUGGUUAUUGACCGGAGAUGAGUCUCGGUCAUGUCUACACAGUUGUCGAACCCGUAGGGUCCGCACGCUUAACGUUCUGUGACGAUCGGUAUUAUGAGUUUAUAUGUUUUGAUGUACCGAAGGUUGUUCGGAGUCCCGGAUGUGAUCACGGACAUGAAGAGGAGUCUCGAAAUGGUCGAGACAUAAAGAUCGAUAUAUUGGAUGGCUAUGUUUGGACAUAGGAAUGGUUCCGGGUGAGUUCGGGCAUUUACCGGAGUACCGGGAGGUUACCGGAACCCCCCGAGGAGUGUAUGGGCCUUAUUGGGCCUUAGUGGGAGAGAGGAGGAGGCGGCCUAGGAGGGGCGCCCCCCCCCCAAGCCCAAUCCGAAUUGGGAAGGGGGUCGGCCCCCCUUUCCUUCCUCCCUCUCUCCUCCUUCCUUCCUCUCCUACACCUACUUGGAAGGGGGGAAUCCUACUCCCGGUGGGAGUAGGACUCCCCUAGGUGGCGCCAUAGAGAGGGCUGGCCCUCCCCCUCCUCCACUCCUUUAUAUACGAGGGAGGGGGGCACCCCAUAGACACACAAGUUGAUCAUUGUCUUAGCCGUGUGUGGUGCCCCCCUCCACCAUAAUUCACCUCGGUCAUAUCGUCGUAGUGCUUAGGCGAAGCCCUGCGCCGGUAGCUUCAUCAUCACCGUCAUCAUGCCGUCGUGCUGAAGAAGCUCUCCCUCGACACUCAGCUGGAUCGAGAGUUCGUGGGACGUCACCGAGCUGAACGUGUGCAGAUCGCGGAGGUGCCGUACUUUCGGUACUAGGAUCGGUCGGAUCGUGAAGACGUACGACUACAUCAACCGCGUUGUCAUAACGCUUCCGCUUACGGUCUACGAGGGUACGUGGACAAAACUCUCCCCUCUCGUUGCUAUGCAUCACCUAGAUGGAUCUUGCGUGUGUGUAGGAUUUUUUUUGAAAUUACUGCGUUCCCCCAUAGUGGCAUCCGAGCCAGGUCUAUGCGUAGAUGUUAUAUGCACGAGUAGAACACAAAUGAGUUGUGGGCGAUAAUAGUCAUACUGCUUACCAACAUGUCAUACUUUGAUUAAGCAGUAUUGUUGGAUGAAGCGGCCCGGACCGACAUUACGCAUACGCUUACGCGAGACUGGUUCUACCGACGUGCUUCGCACACAGGUGGCUGGCGGGUGUCAGUUUCUCCAACUUUAGUUGAAUCGAGUGUGGCUACGCCCGGUCCUUGUUGAAGGUUAAAACAACACACUUGACGAAAAAUUGUUGUGGUUUUGAUGCGUAGGUAAGAACGGUUCUUGCUCAGCCCAUAGCAGCCACAUAAAACUUGCAACAACAAAGUAGAGGACGUCUAACUUGUUUUUGCAGGGCAUGUUGUGUUGUGAUAUGGUCAAGACAUGAUGCUAAAUUUUAUUGUAUUAGAUGAUCAUGUUUUGUAACAGAGUUAUCGGCAACUGGCAGGAGCCAUAUAGUUGUCGCUUUAUUGUAUGAAAUGCAAUCGCCAUGUAAUUGCUUUACUUUAUCACUAAGCGGUAGCGAUAGUCGUAGAAGCAAUAGUUGGCGAGACGAUAACGAUGCUACGAUGGAGAUCAAGGUGUCGCGCCGGUGACGAUGGUGAUCAUGACGGUGCUUUGGAGAUGGAGAUCAAAGGCACAAGAUGAUGAUGGCCAUAUCAUAUCACUUAUAUUGAUUGCAUGUGAUGUUUAUCCUUUAUGCAUCUUAUUUCAAGGUACAAGUGUUCUCCCUAUGUAUGCACCGUUGCGAAAGUUUGUCGUGCCGAGACACCACGUGAUGAUCGGGUGUGAUAAGCUCUACGUUCACAUACAACGGGUGCAAGCCAGUUUUGUACACGCAGAAUACUCGGGUUAAACUUGACGAGCCUAGCAUAUGCAGAUAUGGCCUCGGAACACUGAGACCGAAAGGUCGAGCGUGAAUCAUAUUGUAGAUAUGAUCAACAUAGUGAUGUUCACCAUUGAAAACUACUCCAUCUCACGUGAUGAUCGGACAUGGUUUAGUUGAAAUGGAUCACGUGAUCACUUAGAUGAUUAGAGGGAUGUCUAUCUAAGUGGGAGUUCUUAAGUAAUUUGAUUAAUGGAACUUUAAUUUAUCAUGAACUUAGUACCUGAUAGUAUUUUGCAUGUCUAUGUUGUUGUAGAUAGAUGGCCCGUGCUGUUGUUCCGUUGAAUUUUAAUGCGUUCCUAGAGAAAGCUAAGUUGAAAGAUGAUGGUAGCAACUACACGGACUGGGUCCGUAACUUGAGGAUUAUCCACAUUGCUGCACAGAAGAAUUACGUCAUGGAAGCACCGCUAUGUGCCAAACCCGCUGCAGGAGCAAUGCCAGAUGUUAUGAACGUCUGGCAGAGCAAAGCUGAUGACUACUCGAUAGUUCAGUGUGCCAUGCUUUACGGCUUAGAACCGGGACUUCAACGACGUUUUGAACGUCAUGGAGCAUAUGAGAUGUUCCAGGAGUUGAAGUUAAUAUUUCAAGCAAAUGCCCGGAUUGAGAGAUAUGAAGUCUCCAAUAAGUUCUACAACUGCAAAAUGGAGGAGAAUAGUUCUGUCAGUGAGCAUAUACUCAAAAUGUCUGGGUAUAACAAUCACUUGAUUCAACUGGGAGUUAAUCUUCCUGAUGAUAGUGUCAUUGACAGAAUUCUUCAAUCACUGCCACCAAGCUACAAGAGCUUUGUGAUGAACUAUAAUAUGCAAGGGAUGGAUAAGACAAUUCUCGAGCUCUUCGCAAUGCUAAAGGUUGCGGAGGUAGAAAUCAAGAAAGAGCAUCAAGUGUUGAUGGUCAACAAGACCACCAGUUUCAAGAAAAAGGGUAAAGGGAAGAAGGGGAACUUCAAGAAGAACAGCAAGCAAGUUGCUGCUCAAGUGAAGAAGCCCAAGUCUGCACCUAAGCCUGAGAUUGAGUGCUUCUACUGCAAAGGGACUGGUCACUGGAAGCGGAACUGCCCCAAGUAUUUGGCGGAUAAGAAGGAUGGAAAGGUGAACAAAGGUAUAUGUGAUAUACAUGUUAUUUAUGUGUACCUUACUAAUGCUCGCAGUAGUGCCUGGGUAUUUGAUACCGGUUCUCUUGCUAAUAUUUGCAACUCGAAACAGGGACUACGGAUUAAGCGAAGAUUGGCUAAGGACGAGUUGACGAUGCACGUGGGAAAUGGUUCCAAAGUCGAUGUGAUCGCAGUCGGCACGCUACCUCUACAUCUACCUUCGGGGUUAGUUUUAGACCUGAAUAAUUGUUAUUUGGUGCCAGCGUUAAGCAUGAACAUUAUAUCUGGAUCUUGUUUGAUGCGAGAUGGUUAUUCAUUUAAAUUAGAGAAUAAUGGUUGUUCUAUUUAUAUGAGUAAUAUCACCCUUGAGGAGUGGUCUAUUUUUGUUGAAUCUCGAUAGUAGUGACACACAUAUUCAUAAUAUUGAAGCCAAAAGAUGCGAAGUUGAUAAUGAUAGUGCAACUUAUUUGUGGCACUGCCGUUUGGGUCAUAUUGGUGUAAAGCGCAUGAAGAAACUCCAUUCUGAUGGUCUUUUGGAAUCACUUGAUUAUGAAUCACUUGGUACUUGUGAACCGUGCCUCAUGGGCAAGAUGACUAAAACGCUGUUCUCCGAAACAAUGGAGCGAGCAAUAGAUUUAUUGGAAAUCAUACAUACUGAUGUAUGUGGUCCGAUGAAUAUUGAGGCUCGCGGUGGGUAUCGUUAUUUUCUCGCCUUCACAGAUGAUUUGAGCAUAUAUGGGUAUAUCUACUUGAUGAAACAUAAGUCUGAAACAUUUGAAAAGUUCAAAGAAUUCCAGAGUGAAGUGGAAAAUCAUCGUAACAAGAAAAUAAAGUUUCUACGAUCUGAUCGUGGAGGAGAAUAUUUGAGUUAUGAGUUUGGUCUUCAUUUGAAACAAUGCGGAAUAGUUUCGCAACUCACGCCACCCGGAACACCACAUCGUAAUGGUGUGUCCGAACGUCGUAAUCGUACUUUACUAGAUAUGGUGCAAUCUAUGAUGUCUCUUACUGAUUUACCGCUAUCGUUUUGGGGUUAUGCUUUAGAGACGGCUGCAUUCACGUUAAAUAGGGCACCAUCUAAAUCCGGUGAGACGACGCCUUAUGAACUAUGGUUUGGCAAGAAACCCAAGUUGUCGUUUCUUGAAGUUUGGGGCUGCGAUGCUUAUGUGAAAAAGCUUCAACCUGAUAAGCUCGAACCCAAAUCGGAGAAAUGUGUCUUCAUAGGAUACCCAAAGGAGACUGUUGGGUACAUCUUCUAUCAUAGAUCCGAAGGCAAGACAUUCGUUGCUAAGAAUGGAUCCUUUCUAGAGAAGGAGUUUCUCUCGAAAGAAGUGAGUGGGAGGAAAGUAGAACUUGAUGAGGUAACUGUACCUGCUCCCUUAUUGGAAAGUAGUUCAUCACAGAAAUCUGUUCCUGUGACUCCUACACCAAUUAGUGAGGAAGCUAAUGAUGAUGAUCAUGUAACUUCAGAUCAAGUUACUACCGAACCUCGUAGGUCACGAGAGUAAGAUCCGCACCAGAGUGGUACGGUAAUCCAGUUCUGGAGGUCAUGUUACUUGACCAUGACGAACCUACGAACUAUGAGGAAGCGAUGAUGAGCCUAGAUUCCGCAAAAUUGCUUGAGGCCAUGAAAUCUGAGAUGGGAUCCAUGUAUGAGAACAAAGUGUGGACUUUGGUUGACUUGCCCGAUGAUCUGCAAGCCAUCGAGAAUAAAUGGAUCUUCAAGAAGAAGACUGACGCUGACGGUAUUGUUACUGUCUACAAAGCUCGACUUGUUGCGAAAGGUUUUCAACAAGUUCAAGGAGUUGACUACGAUGCGACAUUCUCACCCGUAGCGAUGCUUAAAUCCGUCCGAAUCAUGUUAGCAAUUGCUGCAUUUUAUGAUUAUGAAAUUUGGCAAAUGGAUGUAAAUACUGCAUUCCUGAAUGGAUUUCUGGAAGACGAGUUGUAUAUGAUGCAACCUGAAGGUUUUAUAAAUCCAAAGGAUGCUAACAAAGUGUGCAAGCUCCAGCGAUCUGAUAACCCACAAGUAUAGGGGAUCAAUUGUAUCAUCUUUCAAUAAGUAAGAGUGUCGAACCCAACGAGGAGCUAAAGGUAGAACAAAUAUUCCCUCAAGUUCUAUCGACCACCGAUACAACUCUACGCAUGCUUGACGUUCACUUUACCUAGAACAAGUAUGAAACUAGAAGUACUUUGUAGGUGUUUUUGGAUAGGUUUGCAAGAAAAUAAAGAGCGCGUAAAUAAAAAGUAGGGGUUGUUUAGAUAAAGACACAACUAAGUUAGUUUUAGUAAAGAGCUUGUUGUCACGAGAAAGUUAUUUGUCCCUAGGCAAUCGAUAACUAGACCGGUAAUCAUUAUUGCAAUUUUAUUUGAGGGAGAAGCAUAAGCUAACAUACUUUCUCUACUUGGAUCAUAUGCACUUAUGAUUGGAACUCUAGCAAGCGUACGCAACUACUAAAGAUCAUUAAGGUAAAACCCAACCAUAGCAUUAAAGCAUCAAGUCCUCUUUAUCCCAUACGCAAACAACCUACUUACUGAAGGAAAUAUGCCCUAGAGGCAAUAAUAAAGUAUUAUAUAUUUCCUUAUAUCAUGAUAAAUGUUUAUUAUUCAUGCUAGAAUUGUAUUAACCGGAAACAUAAUACAUGUGUGAAUACAUAGACAAACAAGAGUGUCACUAGUAUGCCUCUACUUGACUAGCUCGUUAAUCAAAGAUGGUUAUGUUUCCUAGCCAUAGACAUGAGUAGUCAUUUGAUUAACGGGAUCACCUCAUUAGGAGAAUGACGUGAUUGACUUGACCCAUUCCGUUAGCUUAGCACUCGAUCGUUUAGUAUGUUGCUAUUGCUUUCUUCAUGACUUAUACAUGUUCCUAUGACUAUGAGAUUAUGCAACUCCCAUUUACCGGAGGAACACUUUGUGUGCUACCAAACGUCACAACAUAAAUGGGUGAUUAUAAAGGUGCUCUACAGGUGUCUCCGAAGGUACUUGUUGGGUUGGCGUAUUUCGAGAUUAGGAUUUGUCACUCCGAUUGUCGGAGAGGUAUCUCUGGGCCCACUCGGUAAUGCACAUCACUAUAAGCCUUGCAAGCAUUGUGACUAAUGAGUUAGUUGCGGGAUGAUGUAUUACGGAACGAGUAAAGAGACUUGCCAGUAACGAGAUUGAACUAGGUAUCGAGAUACCGACGAUCGAAUCUCGGGCAAGUAACAUACCGAUGACAAAGGGAACAACGUAUGUUGUUAUGCGGUUUGACCGAUAAAGAUCUUCGUAGAAUAUGUGGGAGCCAAUAUGAGCAUCCAGGUUCCGCUAUUGGUUAUUGACCGGAGAGGUGUCUCGGUCAUGUCUACAUAGUUCUCGAACCCGUAGGGUCCGCACGCUUAAACGUUACGAUGACAGUUUUAUUAUGAGUUUAUGUAUGUUGAUGUACCGAAGGAGUUCGGAGUCCCGGAUGAGAUCGGGGACAUGACGAGGAGUCUCGAAAUGGCCGAGACGUAAAGAUCGAUAUAUUGGACGACUAUAUUCGAACUUCGGAAAGGUUCCGAGUGAUUCGGGUAUUUUUCGGAGUACCGGAGAGUUACGGGAAUUCGUAUUGGGCCUUGAUGGGCCAUACGGGAAAGGAGAGAAAGACCCCAAAGGGUGGCCGCACCCCUCCCCAUGGGCUAGUCCGAAUUGGACUAGGGGGGGGGCGCCCCCUUCCUUCUUUCUCCUUCCCCCUUCCCUUCUCCUACUCCCAUAAGGAAAGGAGGAGUCCUACUCCCGGUGGGAGUAGGACUCCCCCCUUGGGCGCGCCACCUCCCCUUGGCCGGCCCUCUCCUCCUUGCUCCUUUAUAUACGGGGGCAGGGGGGCACCUCUUGACACACAAUUGAUCAAUGAUCUUUUAGCCGUGUGCGGUGCCACCCUCCACCAUACUACACCUCGAUAAUAUCGUUGCGGAGCUUAGGCGAAGCCCUGCAUCGGUAGAACAUCAUCAUCGUCACCACGCCGUCGUGCUGACGAAACUCUCCCUCAACACUCGGCUGGACCGGAGUUCGAGGGACGUCAUCGAGCUGAACGUGUGCUGAACUCGGAGGUGCCGUGCGUUCGGUACUUGAUCGGUCGGAUCGUGAAGACGUACGACUACAUCAACCGCGUUGUGUUAACGCUUCCGCUUUCGGUCUACGAGGGUACGUGGACAACACUCUCCUCUCUCGUUGCUAUGCAUCACCAUGAUCUUGCGUGUGCGUAGGAAUUUUUUUGAAAUUACUACGUUCCCCAACAGUGGUAUCAGAGCCUGGUUUUAUGCGUUGAUGCUAUGCACGAGUAGAACACAAGUGAGUUAUGGGCGAUAGAAGUCAUACUGCUUACCAGCAUGUCAUACUUUGGUUCAGCAGUAUUGUGAGAUGAAGCGGUCCGGACCGACAUUACGCGUACGCUUACGCGAGACUGGUUUCACCGUUCGGAGCACUCGUUGCUUAAAGGUGACUGGCGGGUGUCUGUCUCUCUCACUUUAGUUGAACCGAGUGUGGCUACGCCCGGUCCUUGCGAAGGUUAAAACAGCACCAACUUGACAAACUAUCGUUGUGGUUUUGAUGCGUAGGUAAGAACGGUUCUUUCUAAGCCCGUAGCAGCCACGUAAAACAUGCAACAACAAAGUAGAGGACGUCUAACUUGUUUUUGCAGGGCAUGUUGUGAUGUGAUAUGGUCAAGACAUGAUGCUAUAUUUUAUUGUAUGAGAUGAUCAUGUUUUGUAACCGAGUUAUCGGCAACUGGCAGGAGCCAUAUGGUUGUCGCUUUAUUGUAUGAGAUGCAAUCGCCAUGUAAUAGUUUUACUUUAUCACUAAGCGGUAGCGAUAGUCGUAAAAGCAAUUAGUUGGCGAGACGACAACGGUACUACGAUGGAGAUCAAGGUGUCGCGCCGGUGACGAUGGUGAUCAUGACGGUGCUUCAGAGAUGCAGAUCACGAGCACGGUGCUUCGGAGAUGGAGAUCACAAGCACAAGAUGAUGAUGGCCAUAUCAUAUCACUUAUAUUGAUUGCAUGUGAUGUUAAUCCUUUAUGCAUCUUAUCUUGCUUUGAUUGACGGUAGCAUUAUAAGAUGAUCUCUCACUAAAAUUUCAAGAUAAAAGUGUUCUCCCUGAGUAUGCACCGUUGUGAAAGUUCUUCGUGCUGAGACACCACGUGAUGAUCGGGUGUGAUAGGCUCUACGUUCAAAUACAACGGGUGCAAAACAGUUGCAUACGCGGAAUACUCAGGUUAAACUUGACGAGCCUAGCAUAUGCAGAUAUGGCCUCUAAACAGGGAGACCGAAAGGUCGAGCGUGAAUCAUAUAGUAGAUAUGAUCAACAUAGUGAUGUUCACCAUUGAAACUACUCCAUCUCACGUGAUGAUCGGACAUGGUUUAGUUGAUUUGGAUCACGUAAUCACUUAGAUGAUGAGAGGGAUGUCUAUCAAAGUGGGAGUUCUUAAGUAAUAUGAUUAAUUGAACUUAAAUUUAUCAUGAACUUAGUCCUGAUAGUAUUUUGUAAAUUAUGUUAUAGAUCAAUAGCUCGCGUUGUUGCUUCCCUGUGUUUAUUUUUGAUGUGUUCCUAGAGAAAAAAUUAUGUUGAAAGAUGUUAGUAGCAAAGAUGCGGAUUGGAUCCGUGAUCUGAGAAUUAUCCUCAUUGCUGCACAGAAAAAUUAUGUCCUUGAUGCACCGCUAGGUGACAGACCUAUUGCAGGAGCAGAUGCAGACGUUAUGAACGUUUGGCUAGAUCAAUAUGAUGACUACUUGAUAGUUUAGUGCACCAUGCUUAACGGCUUAGAAUCGGGACUUCAAAGACGUUUUGAACGUCAUGGACCAUAUGAGAUGUUCCAGGAGUUGAAGUUAAUAUUUCAAGCAAAUACCCGAGUUGAGAGAUAUGAAGUCUCCAACAAGUUCUAUAGCUAAAAGAUGGAGGAGAAUCGCUCAAACUAGUGAGCAUGUGCUCAGAUUGUCUGGGUACUACAAUCGCUUGAAUCAAGUGGGAGUUAAUCUUCCAGAUAAAAUAGUGAUUGACAGAAUUCUCUAGUCACCAUCACCAAGUUAGUAGAACUUCGUGAUGAACUAUAGUAUGCAAGGGAUGACGAAAGUAAUUCCCGAGCUCUUCGUGAUGCUGAAAUCGACGAAGGUAGAAAUCAAGAAAAACAUCAAGUGUUGAUGGUUGACGAGACCACUAGUUUCAAGAAAAGGGCAAAGGGAAGAAGGGGAACUUCAAGAAGAACGGCAAGCAAGUUACUGCUCAAGUGAAGAAGCCUAAGUCUGGUCCUAAGCCUGAGACUAAGUGCUUCUACUGCAAAGGGACUGGUCACUGGAAGCGGAACUACCCCAACUAUUUGGUGGAUAAGAAGGAUGGCAAAGUGAACAAAGGUAUAUUGGAUAUACAUGUUAUUGAUGUGUACUUUACUAGUGUUUAUAGCAACCCCUCGGUAUUUGAUACUGCUUCAGUUGCUAAGAGUAGUAACUCGAAACGGGAGUUGCAAAAUAAAUAGAGACUAGUAAAAGGCGAGGUGACGAUGUGUGUUGGAAGUAGUUCCAAGAUUGAUAUGAUCAUCAUCGCACACUCCCUGUACUUUUGGGAUUAGUGUUGAAACUAAAUAAGUGUUAUUUGGUGUUUGCGUUGAGCAUGAAUAUGAUUUGAUCAUAUUUAUUGCAAUACGGUUAUUCAUUUAACUUAGAGAACAAUUGUUGUUCUGUUUACAUGAAUAAAAACCUUCUAUGGUCAUAUACACCAACGAAAAUGGUUUGUUGGAUCUCGAUCGUAGUGAUACACAUAAUCAUAAUAUUGAAGCCAAAAGAUGCAAAGUUAAUAAUGAUAGUGCAACUUAUUUGUGGCACUGCCGUUUAGGUCAUAUUGGUGUAAAGCGCAUGAAGAAACUCCAUACUGAUGGGAUUUUGGAAUCACUUGAUUAUGAAUCACUUGAUGCUUGCGAUCCGUGCCUCAUGGGCAAGAUGACUAAAACGCCGUUCUCCGGAACUAUGGAGAGAGAAACAGAUUUGUUGGAAAUCAUACAUACAGAUGUAUGUGGCCCGAUGAAUAUUGAGGCUCGUAGCAGGUAUCAUUAUUUUCUGACUUUCACAGAUGAUUUGAGCAGAUAUGGGUAUAUCUACAUAAUGAAACAGAAGUCUGAAACAUUUGAAAAGUUCAUAUAAUUUCAAAGUGAAGUAGAAAAUCAUCGUAACAAGAAAAUAAAGUUUCUACGAUCUGAUCGCGGAGACAAAUAUUUGAGUUACGAGUUUGGUCUUCAAUUAAAACAAUGUGGAAUAGUUUCACAAAUUCGUGCCACCUCGAACACCACAGCAUAAUGGUGUGUCCGAACGUCAUAACCGUACUUUAUUGGAUAUAGUGCAAUCUAUGAUGUCUCUUACCAAUUUACCACUAUCGUUUUGGGGUUAUGCAUUAGAGACAGCUACAUUCACGUUAAAUAGGGCACCAUCAAAAUCCGUUGAGACGACGCCUUAUGAACUGUGGUUUGGCAAGAAACAAAAGUUGUCGUUUCUUAAAGUUUGGGGUUGCGAUGCUUAUGUGAAAAAGUUUCAUCCUGAUAAGCUCAAACCCAAAUCGGAGAAAUGUGUCUUCAUAGGAUACCCAAAGGAGACAGUUGGGUACACCUUCUAUCACAGAUCCGAAGGCAAGACAUUCGUUGCUAAGAAUGGAUCCUUUCUAGAGAAGGAGUUUUCUCUCGAAAGAAGUGAGUGGGAGGAAAGUAGAACUUGAUGAGGUAACUGUACCUGCUCCCUUAUUGGAAAGUAGUUCAUCGCAGAAAUCUGUUCCUGUGACUCCUACACCAAUUAGUGAGGAAGUUAAUGAUGAUGAUCAUGUAAACUUCAGAUCAAGUUACUACCAAACCUCGUAGGUAAACCAGAGUGAGAUCCACACCAGUGUGGUAUGGUAAUCCUGUUCUGGAGGUCAUGUUAUUUGACCAUGACGAACCUACGAACUAUGAGGAAGCAAUGAUGAGCCCAGAUUCUGCAAAAUGGCUUGAGGCCAUGAAAUCUGAGAUGAGAUCCAUGUAUAAGAACAAAGUAUGGACUUUGAUUGACUUGCCCAAUGAUCGGUGAGUCAUUGAGAUUAAAUGGAUCUUCAAGAGGAAGACGGACGCUGAUAGUAGUGUUACUAUCUACAAAGCUAGAAUUGUCGCAAAAGGUUUUCGGCAAGUUCAAGGUGUUGACUACGAUGAGAGUUUCUCACUCGUAUCUAUGCUUAAGUCUGUCUUAAUCAUGUUAGCACUUGCCGCAUUUUAUGAAAUAUGGCAAAUGGAUAAACAAAACUGCAUUCCUUAAUGGAUUUAUUAAAGAAGAGUUGUAUAUGAUGCAACCAGGAGUUUUUGUCAAUCCUAAAAGUGCUAACAAAAUAUGCAAGCUCCAGCGAUCCAUCUAUGGACUGGUGCAAGCAUCUCGGAGUUGGAAUAUACGCUUUGAUAAGUUGAUCAAAGGAUAUAGUUUUAUACAGACUUGCGGUGAAGCCUGUAUUUACAAGAAAGUGAGUGGGAGCACUACAGCAUUUCUGAUAAGUAUAUGUGAAUGACAUAUUGUUGAUCAGAAAUAAUGUAGAAUUAUUCUGCAAAGCAUAAAGGAGUGUUUGAAAGGAGUUUUUCAAAGAUAGACCUCGGUGAAGCUGCUUACAUAUUGAGCAUCAAGAUCUAUAGAGAUAGAUGAAGACGCUUGAUAAGUUUUUCAAUGAGUACAUACCUUAACAAGAUUUUGAAGUAGUUCAAAAUAGAACAGUCAAAGGAAGAGUUCUUGCCUGUGUUACAAGGUGUGAAAUUGAGUAAAGACUCAAAGCCCGACCACGGCGAAAGAUAGAAAGAGAAUGAAAGUCAUUCCCUAUGCCUUGGCCAUAGGUUCUAUAAAGUAUGCCCCCUUCCUUCUUUCUCCUUCCCCCUUCCCUUCUCCUACUCCCAUAAGGAAAGGAGGAGUCCUACUCCCGGUGGGAGUAGGACUCCCCCCUUGGGCGCGCCACCUCCCCUUGGCCGGCCCUUUCCUCCUUGCUCCUUUAUAUACGAGGGCAGGGGGCACCUCUUGACACACAAUUGAUCAAUGAUCUUUUAGCCGUGUGCGGUGCCACCCUCCACCAUACUACACCUCGAUAAUAUCGUUGCGGAGCCUAGGCGAAGCCCUGCAUCGGUAGAACAUCAUCAUCGUCACCAUGCCGUCGUGCUGACGAAACUCUCCCUCAACACUCGGCUGGAACGGAGUUCGAGGGACGUCAUCGAGCUGAACGUGUGCUGAACUCGGAGGUGCCGUGCGUUCGGUACUUGAUCGGUCGGAUCAUGAAGACGUACGACUACAUCAAACGCGUUGUGUUAACGCUUCCGCUUUCGGUCUACGAGGGUACGUGGACAACACUCUCCGCUCUCGUUGCUAUGCAUCACCAUGAUCUUGCGUGUGCGUAGGAAAUUUUUUGAAAUUACUACGUUCCUCAACACUUACUCUGGUCUAUGCUUCUGUCACUCAUGCCACCCACCAUAAGCAAAUCAUGAACAUAUUGCAAACCCUACAGCGGGGAUCCCUCACGAUUGCGCGACACGGAGAGCACCAUAGGACAACACCAAUAAUAAAACAUGCAACUCAAACCAAUCUUGAUCAUCAAAUAACCCAUAGGACAAAACGGAUCUACUCAAACAUCAUAGGAUAGCCAUACAUCAUUGGGAAAUAAUAUAUAGCGUUGAGCACCUUGUUUAAGUAGAGAGUACAGCGGGUGAAGGAGGGGUUACACCGCUGCAUAGAGGGGGAAGAGUUGGUGAUGGUGGCGGUGAAGUUGUUGGUGAAGAUUGCGGUGAUGAUGAUGGUGGCCACGGCAGCAUUUCGGUGCCACCGGAAGAGAAGGGGAGAGGGGACCCCUUCGUCUUCUUCUUCCUUGACCUCCUCCCUAGAUGGGAGAAGGGUUUCCCCUCUGGUCCUUGGCCUCCAUGGCGUGGGAGGGGCGAAAGCCCCUCCGAGAUUGGAUCUGUCUCUCUGUCUCUCUCUCUGUUUCCGCGUUCUCGUCUGCUGCCCUUUCACCAUUUCGUAUAUAUAUGGAGAUCCGUAACUCCGAUUGGACUGAAAUCUUCGCCGUGAUUUUUUCCUAAAAAAUAGCUUUCUUGCGGCCGAAGAAGGGCAUCAACCGCCUUACGGGGGGGCACGAGGGUCAGGGGCGCGCCCCCUGCCUCGUGCCUCCCUUGGGCACCGUAUCGCGUGGAUUUUUCUUCCCAUAUUCUCCGAAUAUUCCAAAAAUAAUCUCCGUCCGUUUUUAUCCCGUUUGGACUCUGUUUGAUAUGGAUAUUCUGCGAAACAAAAACAUGCAACAAACAGGAACUGGCACUGGGCACUGGAUCAAUAUGUUAGUCCCCACAAAUAGUAUAAAAAGUUGCCAAAAGUAUAUGAAAGUUGUAGAAUAUUGGCAUGGAACAAUCAAAAGUUAUAGAUACGCCGGAGACGUAUCAGCAUCCCCAAGCUUAAUUCAUGCUCGUCCUCGAGUAGGUAAAUGAUAAAAAAGAUAAUUUUUGAUGUGGAAUGCUACCUAGCAUAAUCUUGAUCAUGUAUCUAAUCAUGGCAUGAAUAUUAAGACACGAGUGAUUCAAAGCAAUAGUCUAUCUUUUGACAUUAAGACAAUAAUACUUCAAGCAUACUAAUAAAGCAAUCAUGUCUUUUUCAAAAUAACAUGGCCAAAGAAAGUUAUCCCUACAAAAUCAUAUAGGCUGGCUAUGCUCCAUCUUCACCACACAAAAUAUUCACGUCAUGCACAACCCCGAUGACAAGCCGAGCAAUUGGUUCAUACUUUUUAACGCGCUUCAGCUUUUUCAACCCUCACGCAAUACAUGAGCGCAAGCCAUGGAUAUAGCACUAUAGGUGGAAUAGAAUAUGAUGAUGGGGGUUAUGUGGAGAAGACAAAAAAGGAGAAAGUCUCACAUCGACACGGCUAAUCAACGGGCUAUGGAGAUGCCCAUCAAUUGAUGUCAAUGUGAGGAGUAGGGAUUGCCAUGCAACGGAUGCACUAAGAGCUAUAAGUGUAUGAAAGCUCAAACUGGAAACUAAGUGGGUGUGCAUCCAACUUGCUUGCUCAUGAAGACCUCGGGCAUUUGAGGAAGCCCAUCAUCGGAAUAUACAAAGCCAAGUUCUAUAAUGAAAAUUUCCACUAGUAUAUGAAAGUGAUAACUCAAGAUUCUCUAUAUAUGAAGAACAUGGUGCUACUCUGAAGCACAAGUGUGGUAAAAGGAUAGUAACAUUGCCCCUUUUUUUUUGCGGGCUUCUUUGGCCCCUUUUUUUAUUUAGGCUUCUUUGGCCUCUCUUUUUUUGGCAAUGCUCUAAUAAUGAUGAUCAUCACACUUUUAUUUACUUACAACUCAAUAUUACAACUCGAUACUAGAACAAAGAUAUGACUCUAUAUGAAUGCCUCCGGCGGUGUACCGGGAUGUGCAAUGAUCUAGCGUAGCAAUGACAUCAAAAAACGGACAAGCCAUGAAAACAAACAUCAUGCUAGCUAUCUUACGAUCAUGCAAAGCAAUAUGAAAAUAAAUGCUCAAGUCAUGUAUACGAUGAUGAUGGAAGUUGCAUGGCAAUAUAUCUCGGAAUGGCUAUGGAAAUGCCAUGAUAGGUAGGUAUGGUGGCUGUUUUGAGAAAGAUAUAAGGAGGUUUAUGUGUGACAGAGCGUAUCAUAUCAUGGGGUUUGGAUGCAUCGGCGAAGUUUGCACCAACUCUUGAGGUGAGAAAGGGCAAUGCACGGUACCGAAGAGGCUAGCAAUGAUGGAAAGGUGAGAGUGCGUAUAAUCCAUGGACUCACAUUAGUCAUAAAGAACUCAUAUACUUAUUGCAAAAGUUUAUUAGCCCUCGAAGCAAAGUACUACUACGCAUGCCCCUAGGGGGAUAGAUUGGUAGGAAAAGAUCAUCGCUCGUCCCCAACCGCCACUCAUAAGGAAAACAAUCAAUAAAUACCUCAUGCUCCGACUUCGUUACAUAACGGUUCACCAUACGUGCAUGCUACGGGAAUCACAAACCUCAACACAAGUAUUUCUACUAAUCCACAACUACCCACUAGCAUGACUCUAAUAUCACCAUCUUUAUAUCGCAAAACUAUUGCAAGGAAUCAAACAUAUCAUAUUCAGUGAUCUACAAGUUUAUGUAGGAUUUUAUGACUAACCAUGUGAAUGACCAAUUCCUGUCAUCUCUCUAAAUAGAUAUAAGUGAAGCAAGAGAUUUUAAUUCUUUCUACAAAAGAUAUGCCCACGCUCUAACAAAUAUAAGUGAAGCAAAAGAGCAUUCUACAAAUGGCGGUUGUCUAAGUGAAGAGAAACAGGCAAUCCAAACUUCAAAUGAUAUAAGUGAAGCACAUGAAGCAUUCUAUAAAGCCAUACUCAAAAGAUAUAAGUGAAGUGCAUAGAGCAUUCUAUAAAUAAAUCAAGGACUAUCUCAUACCAGCAUGGUGCAUAAAAAAAUGAAAACUAAAUGCAAAAGACGCUCCAAGAUUGCACAUAUUGCAUGAACGAAACGAAUCCGAAAACAUACCGAUACUUGUUGAAGAAAGAGGGGAUGCCUUCCGGGGCAUCCCCAAGCUUAGACGCUUGAGUCUCCUUGAAUAUUUACUUGGGGUGCCUUGGGCAUCCCCAAGCUUGAGCUCUUGCCUCUCCUUCUUCUCCUCACAUCGAGCCCUUCUCGAUCAUCGAACACUUCAUCCACACAAAACUUCAACAGAAAACUCGGUAAGAUCCGUUAGUAUAAUAAAGCAAAUCACUACUCUAAGUACUGUUGCAAACAAAUUCAUAUUUUGUUUUUGCAUUGUGUCUACUGUAAUAUAACUUUUUCAUGGCUUAAUCCACUGAUAUAAAUCGAUAGUUUCAUCAAAACAAGUCAACUAUGCAUCAAAAAACAGAAUCUGUCUAAAACAGAACAGUCUGUAAUAAUCUGAACAUUCACCAUACUUCUGACACUUGAACAAUUCUUCAAAAAUUAAGAAAAAUAAACAAUUUGUAUAUAAAGACAGUGCAAAAGGAAUCAGAACCGUUUGACGUUCCAGUAAAAAAUUAAAAAUCGCGCACUACAGCCAAAGUUUCUGUCCUGCACCGCACAAACCAACAAGCAUUGUAAACAUCCUAAAGGCAAACCUUGGCACAUUAUUUUUAUAAUACAAUGGAAUUGUACAAGGGGAUGAUUAUUUUUAUUGAAAAGUUUCUGUAAUUAAGAUUCACAAAGUUUCCGUGAGCAUGAACAAAGUUCAAGGAGCUCUCCCACUUCAACAAUGCUUGUCUCUCUCACUUUCACUUUCCUUUUUGAAAAGUUUUGGGUUCCCCUCUUUAUGUUUUUGUUUUUAAACUUUAUAAAAGCACUCAAUAGAAAUAAAUGACUCUCUAAAACUUCCGGGUUGUCUCCCUGGCAGUGCUUUCUUUAAAGCCAUUAAGCUAGGCAUAUAGUGCUCAAGUAAUGGAUCCACCCGGAUCCCAAGGUAUAUCAAAGCCAAUUUUAAUUAGCAAUGAUUUGUAAUUUAGUAGUGAGCACAAAGUAACAUAUAUCAUGCAACAACGAAGUCUAACUCUCUUCCUAUGCAUCGGCAUGUCAUAAAAGAACAAUUCAUGCACACCUAGUAAAGGCCAAUGCAUAGUAUAAAUAGUUUCUUGCAAUUUUGUCAUGUGGGAAACAUAGAGAGGUGGAGAUAUAGUUCCUCUCUCAUAAUAAUUGCAAGUAGGAGCAGCAAGCACAUUCAUAUUAUAUCUAUCAAAAUCAUCAUGUGUAAUAGUAAAAGGCAACCCAUCAAUAUAAUCCUUAAUAAGAGCAAACUUCUCUGAUAUAGUAUAAUCGGGAGAACUCAAAAAGAUAAUAGGACUAUCAUGCGUGGGUGCAAUAGCAACAAUUUCAUCUUUAACAUAAGGAACUAUAGCAAGUUCAUCUCCAUAAGCAUCAUUCAGAUUGGCAUCAUGGCCACAAGCAUAGCAAGCAUCAUCAAAAAGGGAUAUUUCAAGAGAAUCAACGGGAUCAUAUCAAUCAUCAUAGCAAUCAUCCUUCAGUAAGCACAAAGGGAAAUUAAACAAUGUAUGAGUUGAAGAGUUACUCUCAUUAGAAGGUGGGCACGGGUAGCUAAUCCGCUCUUCCUCCUUUGGUUCUUCGCUCUCCUCCUCAUCUUUUUCAUCCAAUGAGCUCACAGUUUCAUCAAUUUCUUCUUCCAUAGAUUCCUGCAAAAUAUUAGUCUCUUCUUGGACAGCGGAGACUUUCUCAAUAAGCACAUCAAUAUAGGAAUUAUAUUCAUAAUUAUCAUAGCAAUAUUUCAAUAUAGCAAAAUUUUCAGGUCUAUAAACAUCAUCAUCAAAAGCUUCAUACUUUUGAAACAAAGAUUCAAUUUCAUAAGCACCCUUAAAAGUAACAAAUUCUUCUAUUUGUUCCACAUCAUAGUAAUCAUAUAUACCUCUAGCAUAAGAAGCCAAGGUUUCAUUAUCAUUAAAUUUGCAUGAAAAGGGAAGGUGUGGAGCCUUCAUCCUAGAGCAACAAGUAUAAUCAUAUCUCAAGCAUAGUUACCUAGCAUACCACUUCAACAUAUGAAUUUGAUCCCAUAAUAGUUUCCCUUUUUGAGUCAAGCGAUAAUCCCUAAAGUAUUCACGUUGAUCCAACGUGUCUCCCAUUACAUAAUUGAAUGGGGUUUUCUCGGGAUUAUCAAAUUAGUACAUAAUAUCUUUCACAUAAUGAGCAUCGAGGGUUUUAGGAGGUUCCCCAUCGCCAUGAGUAGCAAGUACACCUAAUUUUUUUGGUAUUUCGUGUUCCAUAUCCAUAACUAAAGAUAGAGAACAACUAAGAACAGCAAAUAAAAAUUACUUAGUGAUAAAGCAAACAAGCACACACGAGAAUAUUCACCCCACGCUAUUGCUCCCCGGCAACGGCGCCAGAAAAAGGUCUUGAUAACCCACAAGUAUAGGGGAUCAAUUGUAGCCUCUUUCGAUAAGUAAGAGUGUCGAACCCAACGAGGAGCUAAAGGUAGAACAAAUAUUCCCUCAAGUUCUAUCGACCACCGAUACAACUCUACGCACGCUUGACGUUCACUUUAACUAGAACAAGUAUGAAACUAGAAGUACUUUGUAGGUGUUUUUGGAUAGGUUUGCAAGAAAAUAAAGAGCGCGUAAAUAAAAAGUAGGGCUGUUUAGAUAAAGACACAACUAAGUUAGUUUUAGUAAAGAGCUUGUUGUCACGAGAAAGUUAUUUGUCCCUAGGCAAUCGAUAACUAGACCGGUAAUCAUUAUUGCAAUUUUAUUUGAGGGAGAGGCAUAAGCUAACAUACUUUCUCUACUUGGAUCAUAUGCACUUAUGAUUGGAACUCUAGCAAGCGUCCGCAACUACUAAAGAUCAUUAAGGUAAAACCCAACCAUAGCAUUAAAGCAUCAAGUCCUCUUUAUCCCAUACGCAAACAACCUACUUACUCGGGUUUGUGCUUCUGUCACUCACGCCACCCACCAUAAGCAAAUCAUGAACAUAUUGCAAACCCUACAGCGGGGAUCCCUCAUGCUUGCGCGACACGGAGAGCACCAUAGGACAGCACCAAUAAUAAAACAUGCAACUCAAACCAAUCUUGAUCAUCAAAUAACCCAUAGGACAAAACGGAUCUACUCAAACAUCAUAGGAUAGCCAUACAUCAUUGGGAAAUAAUAUAUAGCGUUGAGCACCAUGUUUAAGUAGAGAGUACAGCGGGUGAAGGAGGGGUUACACCACUGCAUAGAGGGGGGAAGAGUUGGUGAUGAUGGCGGUGAAGUUGUUGGUGAAGAUUGCGGUGAUGAUGAUGGUGGCCACGGCAGCGUUCCGGCGCCACCGAAAGAGAAGGGGAGAGGGGACCCCUUCGUCUUCUUCUUCCUUGACCUCCUCCCUAGAUGGGAGAAGGGUUUCCCCUCUGGUCCUUGGCCUCCAUGGCGUGGGAGGGGCGAAAGCCCCUCCGAGAUUGGAUCUAUCUCUCUGUCUCUCUCUCUGCUUCUGCGUUCUCAUCUGCUGCCCUUUCACCAUUUCGUAUAUAUAUGGAGAUCCGUAACUCCGAUUGGAGAUCUUCGCCGUGAUUUUUUCCUGAAAAUUAGCUUUCUUGCGGCCGAAGAAGGGCAUCAACCGCCUUACGGGGGGGCCACGAGGGUCAGGGGCACGCCCCCCUGCCUCGUGCCUCCCUCAGGCACCGUCUCGCGUGGAUUUUUCUUCCCAUAUUCUCCGAAUAUUCCAAAAAUAAUCUCCGCCCAUUUUUAUCCCGUUUGGACUCCGUUUGAUAUGGAUAUUCUGCGAAACAAAAACAUGCAACAAACAGGAACUGGCACUGGGCACUGGAUCAAUAUGUUAGUCCCCAAAAAUAGUAUAAAAAGUUGCCAAAAGUAUAUGAAAGUUGUAGAAUAUUGGCAUGGAACAAUCAAAAAUUAUAGAUACGACGGAGACGUAUCACGAUCCAUUUAUGGACUGGUGCAAGCAUCUCGGAGUUGGAAUAAACGUUUUGAUAGUGUGAUAAUAUUAUGUGUGGAUGACAUAUUGUUGAUUGGAAAUGUUAUAGAAUUUCUGUAUAGCAUAAAAGGAUACUUGAAUAAGAGUUUUUCAAUGAAAGACCUCGGUGAAACUGCUUAUAUAAUAGGCAUCAAGAUCUAUAGAGAUAGAUCAUGACGCUUAAUUGGACUUUCACAAAGCACAUACCUUGAUAAAGUUUUGAAGAAGUUCAAAAUGGAUCAAGCAAAGAAAGGUUCUUGCCUGUGUUACAAGGUGUGAAGUUGAGUUAGACUCAAUGCCCGACCACUGCAGAAGAUAGAGAGAAAAUGAAAGUCAUUCCCUAUGCUUCAGCCAUAGGUUCUAUCAUGUAUGCAAUGCUGUGUACCAGACCUGAUGUAUGCCUUGCUAUUAGUUUAGCAGGGAGGUACCAAAGUAAUCCAGGAGUGGAUCACUGGACAGCGGUCAAGAACAUCCUAAAAUACCUGAAAAGGACUAGGAUAUGUUUCUCGUUUAUGGAGGUGACAAAGAGCUCGUUGUAAAUGGUUACAUCGAUGCAAGCUUUGACACUGAUCUGGAUGACUCUAAGUCACAGACCAGAUGCAUAUUUAUAUUGAACGGUGGAGCUAUAAGUUGGUGCAGUUCUAAGCAAAGCGUCGUGGCAGGAUCUACGUGUGAAGCGGAGUACAUAGCUGCUUCGAAAGCAGCAAAUGAAGGAGCCUUGGCAAAGGAAUCCAGAUUUCACAAGAGAACCAAGCACAUCAAGAGACGCUUCAAUUCCAUCUACGAUCAAGUCAAGGAGGGAGACAUAGAGAUUUGCAAGAUACAUACGAAUCUGAAUGUUACAGACCCGUUGACUAAGCCUCUCUCAUGAGCAAAGCAUGAUCAGCGCCAAGACUACAUGGGUGUUAGAAUCAUUAUUGUGUAAUCUAGAUUACUGACUCUAGUGCAAGUGGGAGACUAAAGGAAAUAUGCCCUAGAGGCAAUAAUAAAGUCAUUAUUUAUGUUUCCUUAUAUCAUGAUAAAUGUUUAUUAUUCAUGCUAGAAUUGUAUUAACCGGAAACUUAGUACAUGUGUGAAUACAUAGACAAACAGAGUGUCACUAGUAUGCCUCUCCUGACUAGCUUGUUGAAUCAAAGAUGGUUAAGUUUCCUAGCCAUAGACAUGAGUUGUCAUUUGAUUAACGGGAUCACAUAAUUAGAGAAUGAUGUGAUUGACUUGACCCAUUCCGUUAGCUUAGCACUUGAUCGUUUGUAUGUUUCUAUUGCUUUCUUCAUGACUUAUACAUGUUCCUAUGACUAUGAGAUUAUGCAACUCCCGAGUACCGGAGGAACACUUAGUGUUCUACCAAACGUCACAACGUAACUGGGUGAUUAUAAAGGUGCUCUACAGGUGUCUCCGAUGGUACUUGUUGAGUUGGCAUAGAUCAAGAUUAGGAUUUGUCACUCCGAUUGUCGGAGAGGUAUCUCUGGGCCAUCUCGGUAAUGCACAUCAAUAUAAGCCUCGCAAGCAAUGUGACUAAUAAGUUAGUUGCGGGAUGAUGCAUUAUGAAACGAGUAAAGAGACUUGCCGGUAACGAGAUUGAACUAGGUAUUGAGAUACCGACGAUGGAAUCUCGGGCAAGUAACAUACCGAUGACAAAGGGAACAACGUAUGUUGUUAUGCUGUUUGACCGAUAAAGAUCUUCGUAGAAUAUGUAGGAACCAAUAUGAGCAUCCAGGUUCCGCUAUUGGUUAUUGACCGGAGAUGAGUCUCGGUCAUGUCUACAUAGUUCUCGAACCCGUAGGGUCUGCACGCUUAACGUUCUGUGACGAUCGGUAUUAUGAGUUUAUGUGUUUUGAUGUACCGAAGGUUGUUUGGAGUCCCGGAUGUGAUCACGGACAUGACGAGGAAUCUCGAAAUAGUCGAGACAUAAAGAUCGAUAUAUUGGAUGGCUAUGUUUGGACAUCGGAAUGGUUCCGGGUGAGUUCGGGCAUUUACCGAAGUACCGGGAGGUUACCGGAACCCCCCGGGGAGUGUAUGGGCCUUAUUGGGCCUUAGUGGGAGAGAGGAGGAGGCGGCCUAGGAGGAGGCGCCCCCCCCAAGCCCAAUCCGAAUUGGGAAGGGGGCCGGCACCCCUUUCCUUCCUCCCUCUCUCCUCCGUCCUUCCUCUCCUACUCCUACUUGGAAGGGGGGGAAUCCUACUCCCGGUGGGAGUAGGACUCCCAGGGCGCGCCAUAGAGAGGGCCGGCCCUCCCCCUCCUCCACUCCUUUAUAUACGGGGGAGGCGGGCACCCCAUAGACACACAAGUUGAUCAUUGUCUUAGCCGUGUGCAGUGCCCCCCUCCACCAUAAUCCACCUCGGUCAUAUCGUUGUAGUGCUUAGGCGAAGCCCUGCGUCGGUAGCUUCAUCAUCACCGUCAUCACGCCGUCGUGCUGACGAAGCUCUCCCUCAACACUCAGCUGGAUCAAGAGUUCGUGGGACGUCACCGAGCUGAACGUGUGCAGAUCGCGGAGGUGCCGUACUUUCGGUACUAGGAUCUGUCGGAUCGUGAAGAUGUACAACUACAUCAACCGCGUUGUCAUAACGCUUCCGCUUACGGUCUACGAGGGCACGUGGACAACACUCUCCCCUCUCGUUGCUAUGCAUCACCUAGAUGGAUCUUGCGUGUGCGUAGGAAUUUUUUUGAAAUUACUGCGUUACCCAACAUCCUCAUAGUUCGUAGCUUCGUCAUGGUCAAGUAACAUGACCUCCAGAACAGGAUUACCGUACCACUCUGGUGCGGAUCUUACUAUGGUUGAGCUACCAGGUUCGGUAGUAACUUGAUCUGAAAGUUUCAUGAUCAUUAUCAUUAGCUUCCUCACUAAUUGGUGUAGGAAUCACAGGAACUGAACUACUUUCCAAUUCGGGACCAGGUACAAUUACCUCAUCAAGUUCUACUUUCCUCCCACUCACUUCUUUUGAGAGAAACUCCUUCUCUAGAAAGGAUCCAUUCUUAGCAACGAAUAUCUUGCCUUCGGAUCUGUGAUAGAAGGUGUACCCAACAGUCUCCUUUUGGUAUCCUAUGAAGACACAUUUCUCCGAUUUGGGUUCGAGCUUAUCAGGUUGAAACUUUUUCACAUAAGCAUCGCAGCCCCAAACUUUAAGAAACGACAGCUUAGGUUUCUUGCCAAACCACAGUUCAUAUGGUGUCGUCUCAACGGAUUUAGAUGGUGCCCUAUUUAACGUGAAUGCAGCUGUCUCUAAUGCAUAACCCCAAAACGAUAGUGGUAAAUCGGUAAGAGACAUCAUAGAUCACACUAUAUCUAAUAAAGUAUGGUUAUGACGUUCGCACACACCAUUACGCUGUGGUGUUCCAGGUGGCGUGAGUUGCGAAACUAUUCCACUUUGUUUCAAAUGAAGACCAAACUCGUAACUCAAAUAUUCGUCUCCGCGAUCAGAUCGUAGAAACUUUAUUUUCUUAUUACAAUGAUUUUCCACUUCACUCUGAAAUUCUUUGAACUUUUCAAAUGUUUCAGACUUAUGUUUCAUCAAGUAGAUAUACCCAUAUCUGCUCAAAUCAUCUAUGAAGGCCAGAAAAUAACGAUACCCGCCGCGAGCCUCAAGACUCAUCGGACCGCAUACAUCAGUAUGUAUUAUUUCCAAUAAGUCAGUUGCUUGCUCCAUUGUUCUGGAGAACAGAGUCUUAGUCAUCUUGCCCAUGAGGCAUGGUUCGCAAGCAUCAAGUGAUUCCAAAAGCCCAUCAACAUGGAGUUUCUUCAUGCGCUUUACACCAAUAUGACCUAAAUGGCAGUGCCACAAAUAAGUUGCACUAUCAUUAUUAACUUUGCAUCUUUUGGCUUCAAUAUUAUGAAUAUGUGUAUCACUAUGAUCGAGAUUCAAUAAACCAUUUAUAUUGAGUGUAUGACCAUAGAAGGUUUUAUUCAUGUAAAUAGAACAACAAUGAUUCUUUGACUUAAACGAAUAACCGUAUUGCAAUAAACAUGAUCCAAUCGUAUUCAUGCUCAAUGCAAACAUCAAUAACAUUUAUUUUCGGUUCAACACUAAUCCCGAAGGUAAAGGGAGUGUGCGAUGGUAAUCUUAUCCUUGGAAUCACUUCCAACACACAUCAUCACCUUGCCCUUAACUAGUCUCUGUAUAUUUUGCAACUCCCGUUUCGAGUUACUACUCUUAGCAACUGAACUAGUAUCAAAUACCGAGUGGUUGCUAUAAACACUAGUAAAGUACACAUCAAUAACAUGUAUAUCAAAUAUACCUUUGUUCACUUUGCCAUACUUCUUAUCCGCCAAGUAUCUAGGGUAGUUCCACUUCCAGUGACCAUUUCCUUUGCAGUAGAAGCACUUAGUUUCAGGCUUGGGUCUAGCUUUGGGCUUCUUCAUGGGAGUGGCAACUUGCUUGCCAUUCUUCUUGAAGUUCCCUUUCUUUCACUUGCCUUUUUACUUGAAACUAGUGGUCUUGUCAACCAUCAACACUUGAAGCUUUUUCUUGAUUUCUACCUUUGCCGAUUUCAGCAUCGCGAAGAGCUUGGGAAUUGUUUCCGUUAUCCCUUGCAUAUUAUAGUUCAUCACGGAGUUCUAGUAACUCGGCGAUAGUGACUAGAGAACUUUGUCAAUCACUAUCUUAUCUGGAAGAUUAACUCCCAUUUGAUUCAAGUGAUUGUAGUACUCAGACAUUCUGAGCACAUGCUCACUAGCUGAGCUAUUCUCCUCCAUCUUGUAGGCAAAAUACUUUGUCAGAGGUCUCAUACCUCUUAACACGGGCAUGAGUCUGAAAUACCAAUUUCAACUCUUGGAACAUCUCAUAUGCUCCAUGGCUUUCAAAACCUUUUUGAAGUCCCGGUUCUAAGUCGUAAAGGAUGGUGCACUAAACUAUCAAGUAGUCAUCAUACCGAGCUUUGUCAAACGUUCAUAACGUCUGCAUCUGCUCUGCAAUAGUUCUGUCACCUAGCGGUGCAUCAAGGACAUAAUUCUUCUGUGCAACAAUGAGGAUAAUCCUCAGAUCAUGGACCUAGUCCGCAUCAUUGCUACUAACAUCUUUCAACUUAUUUUUCUCUAGGAACAUAUCAGAAAUAAAUGGGGAAGCUAUACAUGAGCUAUUGAUCUACAACAUAGAUAUGCAAAUACUAUCAGGACUAAGUUCAUGAUAAAUUAAAGUUCAAUUAAUCAUAUUACUUAAGAACUCCCACUUAGAUAGACAUCCCUCUAGUCAUCUAAAUGAUCACGUGAUCGAUAUCAACUAAACCAUGUCCGAUCAUCACGUGAGAUGGAGUAGUUUUCAAUGGUGAACAUCUCUAUGUUGAUCAUAUCUUCUAUAUGAUUCACGCUCGACCUUUCGGUCUCCAGUGUUCCGAGGCCAUAUCUUCAUAUGCUAGGCUCGUCAAGUUUAACCCGAGUAUUCCGCGUGUGCAAAACUAGCUUGCACCCGUUGUAUGUGAACGUAGAGCUUAUCACACCCAAUCAUCACGUGGUGUCUCAGCACGAAGAACUGUCGCAACGGUGCAUACUCAGGGAGAACACUUAUACCUUGAAAUUUAGUGAGGGAUCAUCUUAUAAUGCUACCAUCAUACUAAGCAAAAUAAGAUGCAUAAAAGAUAAACAUCACAUGCAAUCAAAAUAUGUGACAUGAUAUGGCCAUCAUCAUCUUGUGCCUUUGAUCCCCGUCUCCAAAGUACCGUCAUGAUCUCCAUCGUCACCGGCAUGACACCAUGAUCUCCAUCAUCUUGAUCUUUAUCAACGUGUCGUCACAUGGUCGUCUCGCCAACUAUUGCUUUUUGCAACUAUUGCUAUCGCAUAGCGAUAAAGUAAAGCAAUUACAUGGCGCUUGCAUCUUAUGCAAUAAAGAGACAACCAUAAGGAUCCUGCCAGUUGCCGAUAACUUUACAAAACAUGAUCAUAUCAUAUAACAAUUUAUAUCUCAUCACGUCUUGACCAUAUCACAUCACAACAAGCCCUGCAAAAACAAGUUAUACGUCCUCUACUUUGUUGUUGCAAGUUUUACGUGGCCGCUACGGGCUUCUAGCAAGAACCAUUCUUACCUACGCAUCAAAACUACAACGAUUUUUCGUCAAGUGUGCUGUUUUAACCUUCAACAAGGACUGGGCGUAGUCAAACUCGAUUCAACUAAAGUUGGAGACACAAACACCCACUAGCCACCUGUGUGCGAAGCACGGUGGCAGAACCAGUCUCAUGAACUCGGUCAUGUAAUGUCGGUCUGGGCAGCUUCAUCCAACAAUACCGCCGAAUCAAAGUAUGACAUGCUGGUAAGCAGUAUGAAUAUUAUCACCCACAACUCUUUGUGGUCUACUCGUGCAUAUAACAUCUACGCAUAGACCUGGCUCGGAUGCCACUGUUGGGGAACGUAGUAUUUCAAAAAUUUGCCUACGAUCACGCAAGAUCUAUCUAGGAGAAGCAUAGAAACGAACGGGGAGAGUGUGUCCACGUACCCUCGUAGACCGAAAGCGAAAGCGUUAUAUCAACGCGGUUGAUGUAGUCGUAUGUCUUCACGAUCCGACCGAUCCUAGCACCGAACGUACGGCACCCCCGUGUUCAGCACAGGUUCAACUCGAUGACGUCCCUCGUACUCUUGAUCUAGUUGAGGCUGAGGGAGAGUUCCACCAGCACGACGGUGUGGCGACGGUGAUGAUGAUGUUACCGGCGCCGGGCUUCGCCUAAGCACUACGACGAUAUGAUCGAGUUGUGUUUCUGUGGAGGGGGGCACCGUGUUGGAAAUAUGCCCUAGAGGCAAUAAUAAAAUGGUUAUUAUUAUAUUUCCUUGUUCAUGAUAAUUGUCUAUUGUUCAUGCUAUAAUUGUGUUAUCCGGAAAUCGUAAUACAUGUGUGAAUACAAAGACCACAACAUGUCCCUGGUGAGCCUCUAGUUGACUAGCUCGUUGAUCAACAGAUAGUCAUGGUUUCCUGACUAUGGACAUUGGAUGUCAUUGAUAAUGGGAUCACAUCAUUAGGAGAAUGAUGUGAUGGACAAGACCCAAUCCUAAGCAUAGCACAAGAUCGUGUAGUUCGUUUGCUAGAGCUUUUCCAAAUGUCAAGUAUCAUUUCCUUAGACCAUGAGAUUGUGCAACUCCCGGAUACCAUAGGAGUGCUUUGGGUGUGCCAAACGUCACAACGUAACUGGGUGGCUAUAAAGGUGCACUACGGGUAUCUCCGAAAGUGUCUGUUGGGUUGGCACGAAUCGAGACUGGGAUUUGUCACUCCGUAUGACGGAGAGGUAUCUCUGGGCCCACUCGGUAAUGCAUCAUCAUAAUGAGCUCAAUGUGACCAAGUGUUUGGUCACGGGAUCAUGCAUUACGGUACGAGUAAAGUGACUUGCCGGUAACGAGAUUGAACAAGGUAUUGGGAUACCGACGAUCGAAUCUCGAGCAAGUAACGUACCGAUUGACAAAGGGAAUUGUAUACGAGAUUGAUUGAAUCCUCGACAUCGUGGUUCAUCCGAUGAGAUCAUCAUGGAACAUGUGGGAGCCAACAUGGGUAUCCAGAUCCCACUGUUGGUUAUUGACCGGAGAGUCGUCUCGGUCAUGUCUGCAUGUCUCCUGAACCCGUAGGGUCUACACACUUAAGGUUCGGUGAUGCUAGAGUUGUAGAGAUAUUAGUAUGCGGUUAACCGAAAGUUGUUUGGAGUCCCGGAUGAGAUCCCGGACGUCACGAGGAGUUCCGGAAUGGUCCGGAGGUAAAGAUUUAUAUAUGGGAAGUCCUAUUUUGGCCACCGAAAAAUGUUCGGGAUUUUCGGUAUUGUACCGGGAAGGUUCUAGAAGGUUCCGAAGUGGGGCCCACCUGCAUGGGGGGACCCACAUGAACGUGGGUAGUGGGGGCAAGGCCCCACACCCCUGGUCAAGGCGCACCAAGAUCCCACCUUAGAAGGAAUAAGAUCAUAUCCCGAAGGGAUAAGAUCAAGAUCCGUAAAAAAGGGGGAUAACAAUCGGUGGGGAAGGGAAAUGAUGGGAUUUCUUUCCCCCACCUUUGCCAACGCCCCAAUGGACUUGGAGGGCAAGAAACCAGCCCCUCCACCCCUAUAUAUAGUGGGGAGGCGCAUGGGAGCAGCACCCAAGCCCCUGGCGCCUCCCUCUCCCUCCCGUGACACCUCUCCUUCUCGCUGAGCUUGGCGAAGCCCUGCCGAGAUCCCCGCUGCUUCCACCACCACGCCGUCAUGCUGCUGGAUCUCCAUCAACCUCUCCCUCCCUCUUGCUGGAUCAAGAAGGAGGAGACGUCUUCCCAACCGUACGUGUGUUGAACGCGGAGGUGCCGUCCGUUCGGCGCUCGGUCAUCGGUGAUUUGGAUCACGACGAGUACGACUCCAUCAAACCCGUUCACUUGAACGCUUCCGCUCGCGAUCUACAAAGGGUAUGUAGAUGCACUCCCCUCUCUCUCGUUGCUAGAUGACUCCAUAGAUUGAUCUUGGUGAUACGUAGAAAAUUUUAAAUUUCUGCUACGAUCCCCAACACACCGCACACGGCUAAAGAUCAACUUGUGUGUCUCUCGGGUGCCCCCCUCCCCAUGUAUAUAAAGGAGGGAGGGGGAAGCCGGCCGGCCCUUGCUAGGCGUGCCGGGAAAGGGGAAUCCUACUAGGACUCCAAGUCCUAGUAGGUUUCCACCUAAAGGAGAAGGGGGAAGGAAGGGAGAGGGGGGCCGCGCCCCCAACCCCUUGCCAAUUCGGACUGGGCUUGGGGGCGCGCGCCACCUCCUGGCCGCUGCCUCUCCUUCCCACUAAGGCCCACUAAGGCCAUCAACUCCCCGGGGGGUUUCGGUAACCCCUCCGGCACUCCGGUUUUACCCGAAACCAUCCGAAACACUUCCAGUGUCCGAAUAACAUGGUCCAAUAUAUCAAUCUUUAUGUCUCGACCAUUUCGAGACUCCUCAUCAUGUCCGUGAUCUCAUCCGGGACUCCGAACAACCUUCGGUACAUCAAAUCACAUAACUCAUAAUACAAAUCAUCAUCGAACGUUAAGCGUGCGGACCCUACGGGUUCAAGAACUAUGUAGACAUGAUCGAGACACAUCUCCAGUCAAUAACCAAUAGCGGAACCUGGAUGCUCAUAUUGGCUCCUACAUAUUCUACGAAGAUCUUUAUCGGUCAAACCGCAUAACAACAUACGUUGUUCCCUUUGUCAUCGGUAUGUUACUUGCCCGAGAUUCGAUCGUCGGUAUUCUCAUACCUAGUUCAAUAUCGUUACUGGCAAGUCUCUUUACUCGUUCCGUAAUGCAUCAUCCCGUAACUAACUCAUUAGUCACAUUGCUUGCAAGGCUUAUAGUGAUGUGCAUUACCGAGAGGGCCCAGAGAUACCUCUCCGAUAUACGGAGUGACAAAUCCUAAUCUCGAUCUAUGCCAACCCAACAAACACCUUCGGAGACACCUGUAGAGCAUCUUUAUAAUCACCCAGUUACGUUGUGAUGUUUGAUAGCACACAAGGUGUUCCUCCAGUAUUCGGGAGUUGCAUAAUCUCAUAGUCAGAGGAACAUGUAUAAGUCAUGAAGAAAACAAUAACAAUAAAACUAAACGAUCAUUAUGCUAAGCUAACGGAUGGGUCUUGUCCAUCACAUCAUUCUCUAAUGAUGUGAUCCCGUUCAUCAAAUGACAACACAAGUCUAUGUUUAGGAAACUUAACCAUCUUUGAUUAACGAGCUAGUCAAGUAGAGGCAUACUAGGGACACUCUAUUUGUCUAUGAAUUCACACAUGUACUAAGUUUCCGGUUAAUACAAUUCUAGCAUGAAUAAUAAACAUUUAUCAUGAUAUAAGGAAAUAUAAAUAACAACUUUAUUAUUGCCUCUAGGGCAUAUUUCCUUCAGGAAUAUCAGUAGCAAUAACUUCGUUUUAACUUUAUCAUGUGAUAAACCUGAAAUUCUAAAGAGACCACAUAAUUCUUCAAGCAUUCGUAAAUUAUUUUGGAUGGACAGUUCCAUUGCAUGUAUAAUGGUCAACUCCACAUGCUUAGGUGUGCCAAUGGGUAUUUGAUAAACUUCCUUUUAGUUUUCAUAAAGUGGAGGUCCUUUCCUAACCUUAGGAGAGGCCUCCCAACAAGCUUCUAAAAACAAUACAUUCCAUAGUGGACUAAAAUUGAAAAAAAAAAUAGAAGCACAAUGAAUGUUUUUCUUACUGAUUUACACCUGCCAAGAGCGCUACACUCCCUGGCAACGGCGCAAAAUAUCAUGGCUAAUGCAUAGUGUAGGGAACCAAUAGUAGAUCUUUUUUAUAAGUAAGAGUUGAACCAAACGAGGAACAAAAGGAAUUGGACAUUGGAAAUCAGCAAUUCAUCACUACUAGUAAGAUGCCCGUGCGUUGUACGCAACACCGAAAUGCAUUGAUCCGGGUCAUCUCAUGUUUAACAAAUAUCGAUAGGUUUCUUUGGAUAUUCAUUCUUCUCUAGAGCUCACAAGCAUACGAGUGAAUAGUAAAUGUAGGAAAAUAGAUAAAAAAUAUCUUUUGCAAACAAAAGCGUUCAAGUGUUCAACCUGCAUCCAAAACUUCAUGAAGAAAUAACACUUAUUGUGCUUUGCAAAAAAUGAUCUGCAAAAAAUAUUUUUUUAGUAUCGAUUUUGUUUAUUUUUUUUAGACAGCUAUGAAUGUAACUCAGGAUGACUUGGAAGGGGACAGAGGAGAUGGCGAGGAGGAGGGGGUCAUGGUGGGGUCGGCAAUGCGGCCCAAGCGAAGGCAUGAGAGGCGUUUGGGGGCAGACGACACCAAAAGCAGCGACCUCUCCAGAUUCUUCUUAUUUUGUCAUGAGAUGGCUAGAUGAGGUGAGAGGUAGGGGGUUAUCUACAAACGAGUAGUGGAGUGCGGGGGUCUUUUUGUAAAACUGACAUAGUUUGUCUCAGAUGCGUUGGAUGUAAAUCGAACGAUUGUAAAUGAAGGAUGGCAGACACACCAUCAUCACCAACUCAGCUUUUUAUAGGAGUAGAGAUAAAAUCUACAAAGUUGUUUGGUUGAUCGACAUAGCAAGUUCAAGAAUGUAAAUUGCAAUAAAAGUAAAAUGGUGAAGCAAGCGGUGCAAUCCUUAAUUGUGCUAAGAACAAUCUGAUUGUGCUACUUAUAUGGAUCAAAUUGUUCUCAAGGAAAGUGGAUUUCAUCAUCUCAUUUCCACCUAGUUCCAUUGACUGUAACUUUCAUUGCAAUGGUAAGUGUUGUGUAGUGGAGCCUAAGUUUGUGCACAACCCUCGCUUGCAAAACAUACAUACUUAUGAUUAUACCAACUAUGCAAGAAUAUGCAAAAAUAAUAAUUAAUACAUCAUCUAACCAAAGCAUUAAAUUCCAGGGUCCCCAAUUACCCUCACGCAACAGCUCAUAAAUUGAGGGUUUGGUAUUUCCUGUCACUCCUCCCACCCAUCCUAGAUAAACUUAUCACAUGAUACUCUCCUCUAGGACCAUAUAGAUGAAGUAACAUGAAGUCAACAUUCACGCAUCACCAUCAAAUAAUUAUUGCACAACAUCACAAAACAUUGAACUUCAUGAAAUUUCACAUGGUUACUAACAAUAGGGUUUCUCCAGGUCCUCAAGAACGUAAUGUACUCACGAGACAUCAUAAUGAACAUGAUCAGUGGGGUAAUGACAUGGAUAACAAUCAAAACAUACAAAUGUUUCAGCAAUAAAAACUAAGCAUCAACUACUAAGCAAUAAUUAACACAAGGAAGUGAUUUCAGCAACAUAGCUAAGGUAAUAGUGUAUAGAUUGAAAAGGGAACCGAGAUGGAGAUGCUGCCGGUGAAGUUGGAGUUUGGGAUGAUGAUCUCCAUGAUGAAUCGAGUGCUGGUGAUGAUGAUGGCUUCGAUUUCCCCACCCGAAUGGGAAGGAUCCCGGCAGAUCAUCCUUUCGAGAGAAAAAAAGUGCUCUAGUAUGUUUCUGCCUCGCUCUCGGCGGCAGAAAAACCAUGUAAAAUAGAAAUAGGAUUUUGGGGGUAAUAUAAGAUCAGGGGUACCGGAGAGAGGCCAGGGGUGCCUUAUGUGCACCACACAGUGGUUGGCGCGGCCCGGAGCCUGACCACAUGGGCCCCAUAGACCAGUCGGUGUUAACUCCGUUGGUCAUUCAACAAAGGCCCAUCACUAACAUGACACAACCAACCAAUCAGUAAUUGAGUAAAAGUAAAUUUUUUACAUGGAGUAUAUUGUUUCACAAACCCGAAUUUAGGGCUAAAAUAUUAAACUGCAUGUAAAAAUAUUAUGUAGUCCCUGGUUUGGUACUCAUUUUUUUGCAUGGUUGAUCUUCUGACAUGGGCUAGAACAUCCUUGCAACUCACAUGCAAAGCCUAAACAUAAACCAUAGGCUUUUCUCCUAAUUCGUGCUUCAUGAGGAUCCACACUGUGGAGAUGCUUGCAAUUCGGGGUUGACGUUACCGCAUGAACAUCCUUGAAAUUGCAACCCACCUCCGCAAGGAUUUCCCUUUCAUUGUCCAUACUCUAGGGUUACGUUUUGGUUGGUCAACUUGAGGAACUUGAGGAGCUCAUUAUCCACAUCGUUCUCGAUUGUAUCUAACUGAUGCAAUGACAUCCUCAAGGCAACUUCUCUUGAUGCCUACAACGAUGCUCUUUCUUUGGAGGAAUUCUUCUAAGCACCUGGGAGGUUAGUUCCAACACUGACAUGCAACAUAUAACUAGUAGAUUUAACUGAGACAUGGUACGACAUAUAAUUUCUACAAGAGAGUGAAAAUUACACUUCUUCCUUUCCUCUUCUUGAUCACUUCGAACAUUUUUUAUUAAAACAAACUGGGCCUAAAACUAAAUGAACAAACCUUUAUUCGCAUGGCUUUCCUUCCACAAAGCUCUUAUGUUUUUAGUCAUUUAGCUUGAUUGUAAUGAUGAUUGCUUACCUAGGAAAGAGAACAUUCAUUCUCUAGAUCUGGCAUUUAGCACAAUACCUUCAUUGUGGUACACCUUGUACUUCUUUUUCCUAGGAAAAUGUCUCACAACAGGAUCUUGCGAGGGAUGUUCAAAUCUUACAUUUCCCUCGUGAAGAUUAGUAAUAGAUUUAAUAAUUCUCAAAAGGGGUGCACCUAAUAUAAUCGGGGUUGUAAGAUCCUCAGCCUUAUGCACUAUAAUGAGAUCAAUAAGAUCAUGGCAUCCAUUGAUUUGCACAAUUAUAUUUUCUUUCAUACCCACUGCUUGUUUAUACGAGGAAUCAACCAUAUCCAGUUUAAUCUCACUAAUAAAAAAAGGACCAAGAUUGAGCUUGCCAUAUAGAGUUUUAGGAAUGGUUGGAAACAUUGGCUCCUAUUUCACGUAAAGCAUUGAACUUGUUCAUGCCAAUCUCUAAUGCAAUGGUAGGUUCAAAAAUAUCCUCGUGCUUAGCGCAUAACUUUUCAUGCAACUUUUAUACUCUGUAUCUAAUUCACGUACCUUGGUUGCAACCUAGAGAAUAUAAUUUUAGGACGCUUCAUCGUUAUUUACCACUAGGGUAGGAUACUUCAAGUCCAUUAUUUUGACAAAAUCUUCCAGAGAGUAAUUAUGAGUGGGAGCAUGACUAUUGUCCAAUCCUACACACAUAUCAUCAUUACUCCUCGUCAUUUUAACACUCUACUGCAUUAUGUUUAGUCUUUCCUACAAACUUAGAAAGGAUGAGGGUUUGCCUUUCACUAUCUUGCAAUUUGUGCCUUCAUAUUGCUCGUUCUUUCUUGAAGAGCCUGCAGAUCAAUAGUGAGCCCAGAAAUUUUAUUGGUCAAUUAUACAAGAAAGUUAUCAUAAGACUUCAACAUUUCACUGGAAGUAUUAUUUUGUUUAGUCUGAAGAGUGAUAAAAGAUUUAAGGGUUUCCUCAAGUGUUUGUCAAUUACCGAUAUUCGCCCCACUAUUAUAAUUAUUCGGCGCUCCUGCAUUGUUACGAUAAGUUGGUUUCUGACAAUUGGAACCAAAGUUUUGAUUCUUCCACCUAGGAUUGUAACUAAUGCGACUAUGCGAGCAAUGACAUUGACAUCAUCUACAUAACCUUCAAUAAUGGUGUUCAAAGGAAUUUCUUCUUUACCUUUUAACAUAUUAACGACUUCAUCUGUUAUUGCCGUAAGCUCUUCAUUGUUUUCAUUGGUAAUAGAGUUUACCUUUCGGGACACCAAUCACCAAGCAUGGUUCUCUUGCAUAUUGUCUAGCUUGGAGCUUCUUGCUUCAGUAAGUGGUUUUCCCAUAAUAGUUCCUUCUACAACAAUGUCAAACAUGUGUUUGGUUAAAUGAUUUAAAUUGCUAUAAAACAAAUGAAGAAUUAAGCAUUCUUCCAUGACAUGGUUAAGACAGUUCCUAACAACUUCUUUCAUACAUUCCCACACAAGCGCAAGUGGCUCGUGGUCUUCCUGCUUAAAACAUGUAAUGUAUACUAAUGUUAGAUCACAAUUGCAUUGCUUUUUGCAAGUGGAAUUAAUUUAGUCAUGAUCAUAUCGCAACAAAUAUUCCAAGAUGUAAUAGCUACUCUAAAAGCUAAUGGCCAUUCUUUAGCCAUUCCCCUCAAAGAGAAAGGAAAUAAGCAUAAUUUAACAACAUUGGGAUCAAUGUCCUUUAUGUGACUUAUCGCACAGCUCGGUAAAGGUGUGCAAGUGCAUACGUGCAUCCUCUGAAGUAGAGCCUCCAAAUUGAUUUGAUGAACCAUUGUGAGUAGGUUUAGUUUUACCUCAUACUGCUCAGCUACAACGUCAGGUUGUGCAAUAGGUGCACACAUAUAAUCACUGCUAGGGGCAGCAAAUUCUCCAAGAUUCUUUGUAGACAUCUCACUAUUUUUUGAGCAGUUUUAACAUGGUGCCUCUUACCUCCUCUUUUCACAUGAGAGGUAAGAGUAUAUAAUAGAUCUGAGUCAUUGAUUUCACUAAGUAGUGGGUCUGAGUAACUCUUACCUCCCUACCUCCCUUGUGAAAAGAGGAGGUAAGAGGGACCAUGUUAAAGUUGGCCCUAUUUUUCCAGUUAUUCUUAACGUGCAAAAAAGAAAUAAAAAUCCAAAAGUUGGAACAAAAAUAAAUAGCAAGGACUCAAGUGACCUUACCAGGAUAGCAAAGUACUUCCUCGGCAAUGGCGCUAGAAAAAUAUUACUUUCGAUUCGGUUUCGGAUGUAGAUAUAGCCAUCUUCCCUAGAGGACCUAGGUUUAUUGAACCACGAGAAGUAGUGAUAUGGAAAAGGAAAUUUAUGAAAGAACAUGCUAUCUCAUAAUGUUCCAGUUUCUGAAGCCCGAGGGGUUUCCAUUUGGAUUCAUCGAAUUAUCGCAUGCGGUGUGCAGGAUCAAGGCCAGCGCGAAGCGAGUCGAGUGGCUGGUGCUCGCCUACAUUCUUGUGAGUACCGCACAUACCCACAUGUGAGCCAGGAUGGCCAGUCACUCGCUUAGGCAGACCACACCAAUGUGCCAUUAUGAAAGACCCAAAUUUAUUCUGAAUGAUUCUCCCAACCCGCAUCGCUCGGUAACUUCCGUGAAUUAGUACCACCUCGCUUGACUACGUAGAAUGAGACAACGAGCACAACUAUUUAAGUGGGAACGGAGCAAGAAAUGAGGGGAACACAGUUGCGUUGUGAGUAACAGUGUGAGCUAUUUUUUGGUAUAAACCAAAAAACGAACCAAAAUAGUUGGUCAAUUAAAGUUUGGUUUUCAAUGUUUUAGUGCCUUUUCCUGUUGGCAUUUUGACUAAUCGAUUUUCGAAAUACAUCAAUAUUAACAACUGAUUUUUCGGUUAUACCGAUUGCACACGAUGAAGGGCAACGACCAUCUGACGACGAUGAUGUCUGUUCGGGUACGACGACCCCCCUCCCCUUCGUCAAACCUCGGUAUGCUGAUACCGAACUACCUGGAAUUUCUCGUGUAUGGCGCAGGCUACCUGGUGCUCGGGCUGCAGCCACAAGGCACAAGGCAUAGGAUGAAGAUGGUCUCUCUCAAGCAACCCUGCAACCAAAUAACAAAGAGUCUCUUGUGUCCCCAACACACCCAAUACAAUGGUAAAUUGUAUAGGUGCACUAGUUCGGCAAAGAGAUGGUGAUACAAGUGCAAUAUGGAUGGUAGAUAUAGGUAUUUGUAAUCUGAAAAUAUAAAAACAGCAAGGUAGCAAGCGAUAAAAGUGAGCACAAACGGUAUUGCAAUGCUAGGAAACAAGGCCCAGGGUUCAUACUUUCACCAGUGCAAGUUCUCUCAACAAUAAUAACAUAAUUGGAUCAUAUAACUAUCCCUCAACAUGCAACAAAGAGUCACUCCAAAGCCACUAAUAGCGGAGAACAAACGAAGAGAUUAUGGUAGGGUACGAAACCACCUCAAAGUUAUUCUUUCCGAUCAAUCCAUUGGGCUAUUCCUGUAAGUGUCACAAACAGCCCUAGAGUUCGUAGUAAAAUAACACCUGAAGACGCACAUCAACCAAAACCCUAAUGUCACCUAGAUACUCCAAUGUCACCUCAAGUAUCCGUGGGUAUGAUUAUACGAUAUGCAUCACACAAACUCAGAUUCAUCUAUUCAACCAACACAUAGAACUUCAAAGAGUGCCCCAAAGUUUCCCCGGAGAGUCAAGAAAAAAACGUGUGCCAACCCCUAUGCAUAAGUUCACAAGGUCACUGAACCCGCGAGUUGAUCACCAAAACAUACAUCAAGUGGAUCACGUGAUAUCCCAUUGUCACCACAGAUAAGCACAUGCAAGACAUACGUCAAGUGUUCUCAAAUCCUUAAAGACUCAAUCCGAUAAGAUAACUUCAAAGGGAAAACUCAAUCCAUUACAAGAGAGUAGAGGGGGAGAAACAUCAUAAGAUCCAACUACAAUAGCAAAGCUCGUGAUACAUCGAGAUCGUGCUGAAUCAAGAACACGAGAGCGAGAGAGAGAGAGAGAGAUCAAACACAUAGCUACUGGUACAUACCCUCAGCCCCGAGGGUGAACUACUCCCUCCUCAUCAUGGAGAGCGCCGGGAUGAUGAAGAUGGCCACCAGUGAGGGAUCCCCCCCUCUGGCAGGGUGCCGGAACAGGGUCCCGAUUGGUUUUUGGUGGCUACAGAGGCUUGCGGCGGCGGAACUCCCGAUCUAUUCUGUUCCCCGAAGGUUUUAGGGUAUAUUGGUAUAUAUAGGAGGAAGAAAUACGUUAGGGGAGCCACGAGGGGCCCACGAGGGUGGAGGGUGCGCCCAGGGGGGUGGGCGCGCCCCCCUGCCUCAUGCCUUCCUCGUUGAUUCCCUCACGUGCACUCCAAGUCUCCUGUAUUGCUUUCUUUCCAAAAAUAACUUUUCUGAAGGUUUCAUUCCGUUUGGACUCCGUUUGAUAUUCCUUUUCCGCGAAACACUGAAACAAGGGAAAAAACAGAAACUGGCACUGGGCUCUGGGUCAAUAGGUUAGUCCCAAAAGUAAUAUAAAAGUAUAUAGUAAAGCCCAUUAAACAUCCAAGAUGGAUAAUAUAAUAGCAUGAAUACUUCAUAAAUUAUAGAUACGUUGGAGACGUAUCAGCAUCCCCAAGCUUAAUUCCUGCUCGUCCUCGAGUAGGUAAAUGAUAAAAUAAAGAAUUUAUGAAGUGUGAAUGCUAGCAGGUGCAUAAAUUUGAUCAAUGAUAAUUUCAAUCACCUUUUCUAGCAUCAUUAUAUGUCAUAACAGUAGCUCAACUCAUAGAACUUUGCAUGAUCAAGUAACAACUAUUCACAUGUUAAAGUAUAGAUCAUAAACCUUCUUGAAAACUAACAAACCGUGUUAUUAGUCAUCAAACAAUUACAAUUCAUCUUAUUUUCAGGAAGAGUCUAUGUCAGAGCUUUGAUUUAGCAAACUCCACAUACUCAACUAUCAUUUAGUCUUUCACAAUUGCUAACACUCACGCGAUAUUUAUGGGUUCAAAGUUUUAAUCAGACAUAGAGAAAGAUAGGGGCUUAUAGAUUCGCCUCCCAACCUUUUACCUCAAGGGUAAUGUCAACAAUAAUAGUUCAUGAUGCCUUACAUCCAAUUGGAUAUAUAUAUAUAUAUAUAUAUAUAUAUAUAUAUAUAUAUCAGAAUCUUUCCAACACGAGGUGCUUGCCAAAGGAUAAAAUGUAAAAAGGAAAGGUGAAGAUCACCAUGACUCUUGCAUAAAUGUAAAAGAUAGGCCCUUCGCAGAGGGAAGCAGAGGUUGUCAUGCGCUUUUAUAGUUGGAUGCACAAAAUCUUAAUGCGAGGGAACGUCACUUUAUAUUGCCACUUGUGAUAAGGACCUUUAUUAUGUAGUCCGUCGCUUUUAUUUCUUCCAUAUCACAAUGAUCGUAUAAAGCUUAUUUUCUCCACACUAAAAGAUCAUACAUAUUUAAAGAGCAAUUUUUAUUGCAUGCACCGAUGACAACUUACUUGAAGGAUCUUACUCAAUCCAUAGGUAGGUAUGGUGGACUCUCAUGGCGAUACUGGUUUAAGGGAUGUUUGGAAGCACAAGUAGUAUCUCUACUUGGUGCAAGGAAUUUGGCUAGCAUGAGGGGGAAAAGCAAGCUCAACGUGUUGGGCGAUCCAUGACAAUAUACUUUAUUUCGGAUAUAAGAAAACAUAACCCAUUACGUUGUCUUCCUUGUCCAACAUCAACCUUUUAUCAUGUCAUAUUUUAAUGAGUGCUCACAAUUACAAAAGAUGUCCAAGAUAGUAUAUUUAUAUGUGAAAUCUCUCUUCCUUCAAUAUUCUUUCAUAAAUUGUUCAAGUGACCAAUACAAUGUUUGCUAACCUUCAAAAAAAUUACCACCUCUACUUCUUAUAUGUGAAGGCAUUACUCCCCAUGGGAAAGGCAUAUGAAACAUAUAUAAUUUCAGAUUUAUGACAUUCAAAUCAUUCAACCAUUUACUCAUAGGAUAUAAGUGAAGCACACGAGUAAAUGACAAACUACUCCAAAAAGAUAUAAGUGAAGAUCAAUGAGUAGUUAAAUAAUUAUGUAGCUAUGUGAAGACUCUCUCUCAUUUAAGAAUUUCAGAUCUUGGUAUUUUAUUCAAACAGCAAGCAAAGCUAAAAUAAAACGACAUUUCAAGGAUAGCACUCAUCAUGUGAAGAAGCAAAAACUUAGGCUCAACCGAUACUAACCGAUAAUUGUUGAAGAAGAAAGGUGGGAUGCCUACCGGGGCAUCCCCAAGCUUAGAUGCUUGAGACUUCUUGAAAUGUUAUAUUGGGGUGCCUUGGGCAUCCCCAAGCUUGAACUUUUGUGUCUCCUUAAUUCCUUUCAUAUCACGGUUUCCUAAAUCUCGAAAGCUUCAUCCACAACAAACUCAACAAGAACUCGUGAGAUAAGUUAGUAUAAACCAAUGCAAAAACCUUAUCAUACUCUACUGUAGCAAAUCACUAAAAUUAUUAUUCAACAUUGCAUACUAAAUGCCUUUGCAUAUUUAAUACUCCUAUCCUCAAAUAGAAUCAUUAAACAAGCAAACAUAUGCAAACAAUGCAAACAUAACAGCAAUCUGCCUAAACAGGACAGUCUGUAAAGAAUGCAGCAAGAUCCAUACUUCCCUAGACGCAAAAAUUAUGAAAUAAAAUUCCCACUGUAGUAAAUUUAUCAGAGCUUAUUAUGCAAAAGGUUUCAACAUUUAUCACAUUCUGACUUUUCCAGGGAAUUUUUGCAAUAGCGGUAAACUUUCUGUUUUGAAACAGCAACAUGUAUACUUGCAAAAUAAGCAUGGUAAAGGCUAUCCUUGACAUUUUUAUUGAAACUAGAGAUGCAAAACAUUAUUCUAAAUAACAGCAAGCAAAUACUAACAAAAGAAAAUGAUGCUCCAAGCAAAACACAUAUCAUGUGGUGAAUAAAAAUAUAGCUCCAAGUAAAGUUACCGAUGAACGAAGACGAAAGAGGGGAUGCCAUCCGGGGCAUCACCAAGCUUAGGCUCUUGGUUGUCCUUGGAUAUUACCUUGGGGUGCCUUGGGCAUCCCCAAGCUUAGGCUCUUUCCACUCCUUAUUCCAUAGUCCAUCGAAUCUUUACCCAAAACUUGAAAACUUCACAACACAAAACUUAAGAGAAAAUCUCGUGAGCUCCGUUAGCGAAAGAAAACAAAACACCACUCCAAGGUACUGUAAUGAACUCCUUCCUUAUUUAUAUUGGUGUUAAACUUACUGUAUUCAAACUUAUCUAUGGUUUAUAAACUAUUUUACUAGCCAUAGAUUCAUCAAAACAAGCAAACAACACACGAAAAACAGAAUCUGCCAAAAACAGAACAGUCUGUAGUAAUCUGUAACUAACGCAAACUUUUGGAACUCAAAAAAUUCUAAAAUAAAUUGGUGGACCUGAGUAAUUUGUCUAGUAAUAAUCUGCAAAAAUAAUCAACUAAAAAUCACUUUUCUGUAAAAAAUGACAGCUAAACUCGUGAGCGCUAAAGUUUCUGUUUUUUACAGCAUGAUCAUAAAGACUUCACCCAAGUCUUCCCAAAGGUUCUACUUGGCACAAACACUAAUUAAAACAUAAAGCCACAUCUAAACAGAAGAUAGAUAGAUUAUUUAUUCCUAAACAGAACCAAAAAGCAAGAAACUAAAAUAAAAUUGGGUUGCCUCCCAACAAGCGCUAUCGUUUAACGCCCCUAGCUAGGCAUGAUGAUUUCAAUGAUGAUCACAAAAGGAUAAGAAUUGAAACAUAAAGAGAGCAUCAUGAAGAAUAUGACUAGCACAUUUAAGUCUAACCCACUUCCUAUGCAUCGGGAUUUUGUGAGCAAACAACUUAUGGGAACAAUAAUCAACUAGCAUAGGAAGGCAAAACAAGCAUAACUUCAAAACUUUAAGCACAUAGAGAGGAAACUUGAUAUUAUUGCAAUUCCUACAAGCAUAUGUUCCUCCCUCAUAAUAAUUUUCAGUAGCAUCAUGAAUGAAUUCAACAAUAUAACCACCACCUAAAGCAUUAUUUUCAUGAUCUACAAGCAUAGAAAAUUUAUUACUCUCCACAUAAGCAAAUUUCUUCUCAUGAAUAGUAGUGGGAGCAAACUCAACAAAAUAACUAUCAUGUGAUUGAAAAUUAAGAUCAAGAUGACAAGUUUCAUGGUUAUCAUUAUUCUUUAAAGCAUACGUGUCAUCACAAUAAUCAUCAUAGAUAGGAGGCAUGCUUUCAUCAUAGUAAAUUUGCUCAUCAAAGCUUGGGGAACAAAAGAUAUCAUCUUCAUCAAACAUAGCAUCCCCAAGCUUGUGGCUUUGCAUAUCAUUAGCAUCAUGGACAUUCAAAGAAUUCAUACUAACAACAUUGCAAUCAUGCUCAUCAUUCAAAGAUUUAGUGCCAAACAUUUUAUAUAUUUCUUCUUCUAGCACUUGAGCACAAUUUUCCUUCCCAUCAUUUUCACGAAAGACAUUAAAAAGAUGAAGCAUAUGAGGCAAACUCAAUUCCAUUUUUUUGUACUUUUGUUUUAUAGACUAAACUAGUGAUAAAACAAGAAACAAAAAGAUUCGAUUGCAAGAUCUAAAGAUAUACCUUCAAGCACUCACCUCCCCGGCAAUGGCGCCAGAAAAGAGCUUAGUUGACGGGGUGUGAGUGCUGCCUACCUAGCCUCCCCGGCAAAGGCGCCAGAAAAGAGCUUGAUGUCUACUACAUAACCUUCUUCUUGUAGACGUUGUUGGGCCUCCAAGUGCAGAGGUUUGUAGGACAGUAGCAAAUUUCCCUCAAGUGGAUGACCUAAGGUUUAUCAAUCCGUGGGAGGCGUAGGAUGAAGAUGGUCUCUCUCAAGCAACCCUGCAACCAAAUAACAAAGAGUCUCUCGUGUCCCCAACACACCCAAUACAAUGGUAAAUUGUAUAGGUGCACUAGUUCGGCAAAGAGAUGGUGAUACAAGUGCAAUAUGGAUGGUAGAUAUAGGUAUUUGUAAUCUGAAAAUAUAAAAACAGCAAGGUAGCAAGCGAUAAAAGUGAGCACAAACGGUAUUGCAAUGCUAGGAAACAAGGCCUAGGGUUCAUACUUUCACCAGUGCAAGUUCUCUCAACAAUAAUAACAUAAUUGGAUCAUAUAACUAUCCCUCAACAUGCAACAAGGAGUCACUCCAAAGCCACUAAUAGUGGAGAACAAACGAAGAGAUUAUGGUAGGGUACUAAACCACCUCAAAGUUAUUCUUUCCGAUCAAUCCAUUGGGCUAUUCCUAUAAGUGUCACAAACAGCCCUAGAGUUCGUAGUAAAAUAACACCUUAAGACGCACAUCAACCAAAACCCCAAUGUCACCUCAAGUAUCCGUGGGUAUGAUUGUACGAUAUGCAUCACACAAUCUCAGAUUCAUCUAUUCAACCAACACAUAGAACUUCAAAGAGUGCCCCAAAGUUUCUGCCGGAGAGUCAAGACGAAAACGUGUGCCAACCCCUAUGCACACAAGGUCACUGAACCCGCGAGUUGAUCACCAAAACAUACAUCAAGUGGAUCACGUGAUAUCCCAUUGUCACCACAGAUAAGCACAUGCAAGACAUACAUCAAGUGUUCUCAAAUCCUUAAAGACUCAAUCCGAUAAGAUAACUUCAAAGGGAAAACUCAAUCCAUUACAAGAGAGUAGAGGGGGAGAAACAUCAUAAGAUCCAACUAUAAUAGCAAAGCUCACGAUACAUCAAGAUCGUGCCGAAUAAAGAACACGAGAGAAAGAGAGAGAUCAAACACAUAGCUACUGGUACAUACCCUCAACCCCGAGGGUGAACUACUCCCUCCUCGUCAUGGAGAGCGCCGGGAUGAUGAAGAUGGCCACCGGUGAGGGAUCCCCCCCCCCUCCGGCAGGGUGCCGGAACAGGGUCCCGAUUGGUUUUUGGUGGCUACAGAGGCUUGCGGCGGCGGAACUCCCGAUCUAUUCUGUUCCCCGAAGGUUUUAGGGUAUAUUGGUAUAUAUAGGAGGAAGAAAUACGUCAGGGGAGCCACGAGGGGCCCACGAGGGUGCAGGGCGCGCCCAGGGGGUGGGCACGCCCCCCUGCCUCGUGCCUUCCUUGUUGAUUCCCUGAUGUGCACUCCAAGUCUCCUGUAUUGCUUUCUUUCCAAAAAUAACUUUUCCGAAGGUUUCAUUCCGUUUGGACUCCGUUUGAUAUUCCUUUUCCGCGAAACACUGAAACAAGGGAAAAAAAGAGAAACUGGCACUGGGCUCUGGGUCAAUAGGUUAGUCCCAAAAGUAAUAUAAAAGUGCAUAGUAAAGCCCAUUAAACAUCCAAGAUGGAUAAUAUAAUAGCAUGAAUACUUCAUAAAUUAUAGAUACGUUGGAGACGUAUCAGGUGACGGGCGUCGGUGUCGUCGAUACGUUCCAACGUAUCUAUAAUUUUUUAUUGUUCCAUGUUGUUAUAUUAUCAUUCUUGGAUGCUUUAUAAUCAUUUUACAAUCAUUUUAUACAAUUUUUUUGGACUAACCUAUUGACAUAGUGCCCAGUGCUAGUUGUUGUUUUCUGCUUGUUUUUUACAUCGCGGGGAAUCAAUAUCAAACGGAGUCCAAACGCAGCGAAACUUUUUGUGGAUUUUUUCUGGACCAGAAGACACCAGAUGGGCCAAGAAAGUACCUGAGGGGUGCUUCGAGGGGAGAACAACCCACCAGGGCGCGCCUGGGGGCCCAGGCGUGCCCAGGUGGGUUGUGCCCACCUCGGUGGCCUCCCGCACCGCCUCUUUGCUCUAUAAAUACCCCCAAUAUUCCAGAAACCCUAGGGGAGUCGACGAAAAUCAAUUCCAGCCGCCGCAAGUUCCAGAACCAUCAGAUCCAAUCUAGACACCAUCACAGAGGGGUUCAUCAUCCUCAUUGGUGCCUCUCCGAUGAUGCGUGAGUUAUUCUAUGUAGACCUACGGGUCCGUAGUUAGUAGCUAGAUGGCUUCCUCUCUCUCUCUCUUGAUUAUCAAUACAAUGGUCUCUUGGAGAUCUAUUUGAUGUAACUCUUUUUGCGGUGUGUUUGUUGGGAUCCGAUGAACUUUGAGUUUAUGAUCAGAUUUAUGUUUUUAUCCAUGAAAGUUAUUUGAGUAUUUUGAUCUCUUAUAUGCAUGAUUACUUAUAGCCUCGUAUUUCUUCUCCGGUAUUUGGGUUUUGUUUGGCCAACUUGAUCUAUUUAUCUUGCAAUGGGAAGAGGUGCUUUGUGAUGGGUUCGAUCUUACGAUGCUUGAUCCCAGUGAUAGAAGGGGAAUCGACACGUAUGUAUCGUUGCUAUUAAGGAUAACAAGAUGGGGUCUAUUUCUACAUAAAUAGAUCUUGUCUACAUCAUGUCAUCGUUCUUAUUGCAUUACUCCGUUUCUCCAUGAACUUAAUACACUAGAUGCAUGCUGGAUAGCGGUCGAUGUGUCGAUCUUGUCUACUAUCAAACACUGACAUGCGCGACCGAUCUCAUCGACCCGCACCUGAACCGAUCUACAUAUCUCAUAUGCAAAUCAUCGAAUCUAUUACCACACAGCGGAGGCUCUGAUACCACUGUUGGAACACGCGGUACGCUACGCUAGCGCCAAAUAAAAUUUUCUACCGCGCACCCAAGCUCAUGUUGCUGGAAAUAGAUCACGGGAUCGGGUUUACCACUAGGCGCGCAGUCACCGCAGCGGAAGUAGAGUUGGUGAUGCGUGUAGCCGAUCUCCCGGGCCGUCUCCUCCUCGCGUUGCCGAUCUCCCGCGAACAGCGAAGACCCGUGAACGGUGAUCUCCCGCGAACGGCACCUCGCGGUUCCCUCGAACGGUUCGUCCAAGCACCGCAGAUGCGAUGCAUCCAAGGUAUCCACACGUACGGGGAGCAGCGUCGAGCGGCGGACUGCUAGGUCCGGUUGCGCGGCAUGGGCGUGGGGAGUGGCGGUGGCUAACCAGGGUUCAAUGCUAUCAACCCUAAGUGGUGUGCCCACUCCCCUUUAUUUAGACCUCCGAGGUGGGCUCAACACUUGAGCCCACUAGGAGUCCACAUCCAUUUUUCACUCAGAUCCAAUCCGAAUGGGCUGCAGCCCCUUAAGUGUGCGACCCUAUAGGUUCACGUACACAUGGACACGACCAGAGUCGAUAGUUGGUAGCGGCUCCUAGCAGAACGUGCCAACUCCCAUGUGGGAGUAAAGUCGUUUGACGAACCUCAACAAUGUGGCAUAUGCAACAUUCCUUUUGCCUCACGAUAUUUGUUGUCGAGCUCAAGGCGAGUACUUGUCACCCUUGUGUUAGCUCGACCUCUCUUCUCGAAACCAUGAUACAGAUUCCCGAACUGGGUUAACACUUAACCCAAGUCGCAUGGCCAUGCUUUCCGAAUCUGAUCACUCGAGAGGGCCCAGAGAAUAUCUCUCCAAAUAGGAGGGGCAAAUUCCAUCUUGGUCAACCAUGUCUCGCGGCAUGUCUCACGACUCACCAGAAAGCUACCUUUGUAACUACCCAGUUACGGAGUAGCGUUUGAUAGACCCUAAGUGAGUCGAUCCUCAUCCCGAGAACAUGCGAGGACCUCAUGUCUAGGACAUGGCAUAGACAUUGCACUUGAGACUAACAGAUGACUAUAUCUCGCUGCGUCUCAAAGUGGGUCUGUCCGGCUCGGUGAUCUCCAUCCCCGAGCCCAUACUAUCGGUUUAGCAUCUCCAUGCACAUGACUUGUGAAACAUAGUCAUCAACCGAGUCGUAUACUAGUCAAGGAUAUGUGUCCGCAUAACCUUAUCAACUAGGGACCAUUAAAACAAUCAUCAUACAAUACAUAGUUCCACAAACAAGUCACAUACUUAUUAAUACAUAUCAUUGAUGAUGUUCAAGGACAAUACAAAGGACUCAUGAAUACAUAUGGAAAUAUCAUCAUCACAUGAUUGCCUCUAGGGCAUAUCUCCAACAGCUUUUAUUACUAAGUAUUUUCCGCCCGCGAAAAUUAUUUCCCUUAGGACGCAAAUCAUGAAUUUUAAGCAACUUGAACAUGAGCACGUUGCGCAAUCUUGGGAAAGUAUGAAAUUAAUGCCAAGGAAUUGCCCAACUCAUGGGUUAAAUCUUUGGAUGAUCAUACAAAAAUUUUAUGCGGGGUUGAAUUUUGUUUCUCGUAAUCUUUUGGACUCCGGCGAGGGUGACACUUUUAUGGGAACUACUUUGGGUGAAGCCACCAAAUUGCUUGAUAAUAUUAUGGCAAAUUAUUCACAAUGGCAUACCGAAAGAGCUCCUACUAGUAAAAAAGUUAAUUCAGUUGAAGAAAUUUCUUCUUUGAGUGAAAAAGUUGAUGCUCUUAUGAAAUUGGUUGCUAAUAAAAAUGCUCCUUUGAUUUUAAUGAUGUUCCUUUGUCUACUUUGAUUGAGCAAAACAGUGAUGCCGUAGAUGUGAAUUCUGUCUCACGAAACAAUUUCAAUAACAAUGCUUAUAGAGGUAAUUUUAAUCCUAGGCCUUUUCCUAGUAAUUCCUAUAAUAAUUAUGGUAAUUCCUAUGGUAAUCUUUCUUACAAUAAUAAUAGGAACACCUCUGAUUUUGAGAAUAAUAUUAAAGAAUUUAUCAAUACUCAAAAAGUUUCCAAUGCUGCAAUAGAAGAAAGCUGAAUAAGAUUGAUGAUAUGUCUAGAAGUGUUGAUAGAAUUUCUCAUGAUGUAGAAAAUCUCAAGAUGAAAAUUUGUGUGCCUAAGGUAGAAAAAUCAAUUAAAGCUCUUUAUGUUUCUAUGGAUGAAAGUAAGAAAAGAACCGCUAUGCUUAGAGCUAGAAGAGAAUUUUUAGAAAAAGCAUUUUCUAGUGAUUGCUUUCAUAAAGUGAUGAAGAUCUUAAAAUGAUUGGUGUUUCUUCUAUUGAUUCUUUGUUUAGUAAAAUUAAGAUUGAUAAUAAAGGGACUAAAUAAGAGUCAACUUUAGCUAGAAGGCGUCUCGAUAAUUCGGAGGGUGAAAAUCUUGUUGAGAAAAUUGAUAAAAGCUUGGGUUUGAAGAGGUCAAGACUUUAAGUAGUGAUGUGCCCACUCCUUUGGAUUACAAAGACUUCAAUUAUGAUGAUUUCUCUUUGAUUGAUUGUAUUUCUUUGUUGCAAUCCAUGAUAAAUUCGCCCCAUGCUUAUGAACAAAAUAAAGCUUUUACUAAACCUAUUGUUGAUGCUAUGAUGAAAGCUUUAGAAGAAAAGUUGGAAUUAGAGAUUUCAAUUCCUAAAAAAUUACAUGAUGAAUGGGAACCUACUAUCAAAGUCAAGAUUAAAAAUUAUGAGUUUUUUGCUUUAUGUGGCUUGGGUGCUAGUGUUUCUACAAUUCCGAAAUCUUUAUGUGAUGUGCUUGGUCUUACCGAUAUUUAAUAAUGUUCUUUAAAUUUGCACUUGGCGGAUUCUACUAUUAAAAAGCCUAUGGGAAGAAUUAAUGAUGUUCUUAUUCUUGCAAAUAGGAAUUAUGUGCCCACAGAUUUUAUUGUUCUUGAUAUUGAUUGCAAUCCGUCUUGUCCAAUUAUUCUUGGUAGACCGUUUUUACAUGUAUUGGUGUCGUGAUUGAUAUGAAAGAAGGCAAUAUCAAAUUUUAAUUUCCACUAAGGAAGGGUAUGGAACACUUCCCUAGAACUAUAAUUAAGCCACCAUAUGAAUCAAUCAUCAGGGCAUCGUAUGGAAACAAAAACAAAGAUAACAAUACUUAGAUCCUUGCAUUAUGCCUAGCUAGGGGCGUAAAACGAUAGCGCUUGUUGGGAGGCAACCAAUGAAUAAAAUUUAUUUUUGUCUUUUUAUUUCUGUUCUUGAGUGUUUGCAAAAUUAUGCUACUGUUAUGAUUGUGUUUUUUAUGUUUUAAUCAGUGUUUGUGCCAAGCAAAGCCUUUGGGAUCAUGUUGGGUGAUAGUUGAUUUGAUCUUGCUGAAAAACAAAAACUUUUGCGCUCACAAAAAUAAUUCUCAUUUUUAACAGAAGCGUGAUAAAAUACUGAUUCUUUCUGAAGAAGAUUAAUAUACAAAUUUAUCGCGUUUUCCUAAUUUUUUAGAAUUUUUCGAGUUACAGAAGUAUUCAAAGUAUUCAGAUUGCUACAGACUGUUCUGUUUUUGACAGAUCCUGUUUUCUUUGCGUUGUGUGCUUGUUUUGAUGAUUCUAUGGUUUUCUUUGAAGAGUUUUUGCCAUAGAAAAUUUGGAAUACAGUAGAUAUAAUGCAAAAAUAAAAUAUGAAUGGGUUUGCAACAGUAAUUAUAGUAGUGAUUUGCUUUCUUAUACUAACGGAUCUCACGAAGGUUUUGUUGAGUUUUGUGUGAUUGAAGUUUUCAAGUUUUGGGUGAUAUUACGAUGGAUGAAGGAAUAAGGAUUAGCAAAAGGCUAAGCUUGGGGAUGCCCGAGGCACCCCAAGAUAAUAUUAAAGAAGUAUCAAGCAACUAAGCUUGGGGAUGCCCCCGAGUGGCAUCCCCUCUUUCUUGUAACGACCAUCGGUAUUUUACUUGGAACUAUAUUUUUAUUCGUCACAUAUUAUGAGUUUUGCUUGGAGCGUCUUGUAUGAUAUGAGUCUUUGCUUGUUUUUCUUUUUAUUUUUAGUCAUGAAUCCUUGCUGGACACACCUAUUUGAGAGGGCCAAAAUUAUGCUUUGACUUGUUAGAAUUGCUCUCUAUGCUUCACUUAAAUCUUUAUGAGCUAUGGAACUGCCCUAGUGCUUCACUUAUAUCUUUUUGAGCACGGUGUGCUUUAGUAUUUUUGAAGAAAUGCUCUCAUGCUUCACUUAGAUUUAUUUGAGAGUUAGUAAAUUUUUUGAAUAAAUUCUCUCUUGCUUCACUUAAAUUAAUUUGAGAGAAAGAAAUAUGAUGCUCAUGCUCUUCACUUAUAUUUGUUUGAGCUUAUUAAAAGCCACAUAUGAAACUAGUUCCAAAGUGAUAGGUAUCCAAGGAGGAUAUAAUAAAAACUUUCAUGAAGAUCAUUGGACAAAAUAAACUUGAUUCAGUAAUAGUUUUGAGAUGUGAUGAUAGUGAUAUGUGAGUCAUGUUGAUGAGUAAUUAUGCUUUAGUAAGAAUAUUGGUGUUAAGGUUUGUGAUUCCCUAUGCAAGCACGAAAGUCAAUAGUUAUGCAAUGAAAUUACAUCCUACUUGUGGUGCAUUAUUCGGUGUUAGUUAUGCUUAAUGCUCUCUUAUGAGAUUUUUCGUUUCUUGGUUGGAUGCUUCUCAAUCUUUUGCUAGCCUUCAUUUGCACUAAGUAUGAUCACUACUUGUGCAUCCAAAAUCCUUUAAACCAGUUUUGCCACAUGAGUCCACUAUACCUACCUAUAUGCGGUAUUCUUUUGCCAUUCUAAGCAAAUCUGUAUGUGACAUCUCUAAUUUUCAAAAUAAAUUUCUCUUUUGUGUGCUCGUACCGCUCAUGAAACGGUAGGGGUGGCUAAUAUAUUUCCAUGCUAGAUGUGUUAUUCUCAAGAUGAGUGUUUAUUCACUUGUCAUUGCACGAGAGUACGGCAAAGGUAUUAGGGAUGCCCAGACCCGAAAUGAAAAAUGAAUUUACUUUAUGUUGUCGAAUAAUAAAUUCCUUGGAAUGUGUUGGUAUGGAAGGCACCCGUGGAUACGGUUAGCCAUGGAAAGUGAAAGUACGGUUGGAAAAGGAAUAAACUUUAUUUUCUGUUUGGGAACCGCCUAUGAUAUAUCUAGCAUGGAAAGUAUUGGAAACUACUCGAUCGUUUUCGUUGACAGGAAAAGCAUGCCAACCAAAAUAUUUUAUCUUUAUCUUUUUCGCUUUGAGCUCUGGCACCUCUACAAAUCGGUACUUCCCUAUGUGAAGGGCCUUUCUUUUACUUUAUGCAAUUUUUAUUUUGAGCCUCCAUCUUCUCUUAUAAAGCACCAACUAAGGGGCACUAUGAUCGUACUUGAGCAUUGGGUGUAGCUAAUAUAUGAGUGUGUUUCAUGAAUGGAUCAAUGAUUGAGCGUAAUGGGCUAGGGAUAACUUGCUUUAGUGUUGAUAUUUUGAAAGACAUGGUUGUGUGUUGAUAUGCUUGAGUAUUAAAGUCCUCAUGUCAAAACUAGACUAUUGCUUUGAAUCGUAUAAAAGUCCAAAUGUCCAUGCUAAAAAGAAAAGAAUAUGUGAUGAACAUGUUAGGUAGCAUUCCACAUCAAAAAUUCUGUUUUUAUCAUUUACCUACUCGAGGACGAGCAGGAAUUAGUCGUCGAUGGCGCGUGGACCCAGCCGUCUUGCAACCGGGCCGCGGGGAGCCGGGUCGGCCGAAGCCGGACGGGCACGCCGGCCGGAUUGCGGGGGAGGCUCUUGCCGACGCCGGUCUCCUGGAGCCGGCUCGUUGCCCAGGUCAUCUCCAGCCGUCAGGGCGCGGUUGUGCCGGGUCCGGGUCCUGCCGGAAUGAGCCUCGCUGGGGGCGGAGAAGAUGUCGUGUUCGGCUGCUCGGGGUCUUUGCUGCGGCGCGAGACGGACCCUGCAGGACGGUCAAGGCGGUCCUGCUGCGCGUUCGCGGCGCCGAGAAGCUCAGUCAUGCGCUGGAGGCGCUCCUACAGCUGCUCCAUGCCAACAGCGGCCGCCUGCGCGGCGCGCAUGUUCUUGACGGGGGUGUCGUAGACGGGCGGGAUCGCGCCCAGUGCGCGGCCUAUGGCGGCGCCACGGGUCCGCACCUUGGCAACCCGGCUGGGCUCAGCCGCGGCUGGCGUGAAGCCGUACACGGUGUCGCGCUCCCGCUGGACGGACUCCAACCCGCGCUGCGUAGCAGCAAGCGCCGCGGCCUCAUCCAGCAGGCGCUUGCGCUCCUCCUCGAGCUGGGCCCGGGCCUUGGCGGCGUUGAUGGCGUUGAUGUCGGUGGCGAUGGGGACGCUGAGGUUCUGUAUCGUGGCGCGCAGCGGGUCGGCCGUGCUGGCGCGCUCUGUUGCGGCCUUCUUCGCGGCGCUGGACAAAGUGGAGCCAGAGUCGGUGACAAUCACCUCUACCCGGAUGCAGAGAUCCGCCACAUCAGCGGAGAAGUCAUCGUCGAGGGGAACAAGUGAGUCGAUGACGUCGAGCACCCCGCUGGGGUACCCAUCGGGGGGCGCAGCGCGACGAAGGGAGCGUCGGACGAGGCAGUGAAGCCGGUCGGCGCCGCGCCGGGCGCGGGGACCAGGUCGUGCAUGCUGAGCUCGCCGGAGUCGAUGAAGGGCCCCGUCUGGAACGUGUCUCCGGCCGGCACCUCAAGCCGCCCCAUGGUGGGCGCCAACUGUCGUGGUGGGCUCAUGACAGAUGCCAUGGGAUGGCUAAAGAGAGGAGAAGGCAAGAGGCAACCGGUGGGCUCCAGACGCGAGGUUGGUACGAGCGAGCGUGAGACGCAAGACGUACCCAGGUAGAGAUAACACCCUUAGUCCUGCCGAGUGUGGUUUAUAUGAGGAUGGUACAAGCUUGCUCCUGGAGCUAUUUUGGGGAGGAAGGAAGGCAGGCCAGUGCAUAGGCUGCUCCUUCUUCGUGUAUGUGUGUGAGUGUUCUACUAGUGAUNNNNNNNNNNNNNNNNNNNNNNNNNNNNNNNNNNNNNNNNNNNNNNNNNNNNNNNNNNNNNNNNNNNNNNNNNNNNNNNNNNNNNNNNNNNNNNNNNNNNNNNNNNNNNNNNNNNNNNNNNNNNNNNNNNNNNNNNNNNNNNNNNNNNNNNNNNNNNNNNNNNNNNNNNNNNNNNNNNNNNNNNNNNNNNNNNNNNNNNNNNNNNNNNNNNNNNNNNNNNNNNNNNNNNNNNNNNNNNNNNNNNNNNNNNNNNNUACAUGGGCGCGGGGCCGGGAUGGCAGUGUGUGGGAGCCGGCAGUGGGGGCCGCCGGAUGCGGGUCUCGCCGGGUCCGUCGGGUGCGGGCCGUACCGGGGCCACCGGGCACGGGUACGGCGGACUGCUGAGUACUGUAGGCACGCCGUGCCGGACGUCAUGGGACGGCUGCACCGGAUUGCUACAGGGUUGCGCCUCCAAGACGCCGCCCGCCUCAGGCGGUGGCUUGGUCGGCAAUGGGGGGCGCACUGUAGCCAUGAUUGUUUGUCGAUGGGGGUUUGUCUUGUGGGAACCGGUCGGCAUGCGCCAGCCGGCUUGGCCGGGUUGCGCUGGGAAGCAGGCCAGGGGCGAGCCGGAUUGAGGGGCGUUGCCAACCCCGAUGUUUUUGGAAAGGAUCUGGGUUCCAUUGCCUGCCCGGGGUCCAUCCCCCCGACAGACGUGUGGCCGGAAUAGGUUUCUCAGCUUCCACGCGGGUUUAGUGGAGGCGUUUGAAUGCGGUGAGGAGACGUGUUCAGCCAGGCGUGCAACGAGCAGGGCCCUCAGCCGGUGCGUCGCUUCAAUGGCGGAGCCAGUGAGAGAUCGCAUCCGCCCUGAGCCACCUUCAAUGUGGAGCGGCGCGGUCUACAGUGGUAUGAAUGCGAGCAGCUGGCGACGUGCGGGAAGCGCGCUCGAGAGGGGGUGGAGUGGUUUUUGGUGGGCCAGGGCAAUCAGAAGCGGGCGUGACAGCGGUCCAGACUCCCGCAAAGCCCCCACAAUUUUGUCUCCGGUUUUUUUAAAAAGUACGUCCGGACCGCACCGUGGACCGAUACAGGCUCGCAUUAGAUUGUUUCCGUUGUCCGGGCAGCGUGAUCCGGAUGGACGGGAAGUUUGAGGGUCGACGUUGAAGAUGUCCUAAGAGCAACUCAAGCAGACCUCGCAAAACACGCAGACCCGCAAAAUUCCGGCGAGUAUGCGGGCUCGGCCCAAUUUUCCGGCCAGAACAUAGUCCGCAUACUCGCCCGGCCCGCAAAAAUAUUUGCCGCAGCCCGCAAACCGCACGCCACGAGCACUAUAACUGCGGUUCCGCGACUCGUUUGCGGGUCCAAACCCUAUCCCCCCGCCGCCGCGAGCCACCCGAUUCCCCUUUCCGCUCUCCACAUUUCUCGCCGCCGGCGACCACCCGCCCGCCUCCAGCCGCCAUGUGGGGCCGAAUGUGGAGCUCCGGAUGCGGCUCCGGCCGCAGAUCCGGCGGCGUGAGGGACCCGGAGCGCGAGCGGCGCGUCCGGCCGGACGGCGCGAGGAAGCGCGGCGCCCGGAAGUGGACCAACCACGGGAUGUCGCCGCCGGCGAGCUUCAACCGCCGCGAGACGGAGGAGUACGACCGCCGGCGCGCGUCCUUCUCCUCCGCGAGGUCUUCCUACGCCGGAUCCUCCUCGUCCUCCGGCGCGCGCUUUCUCCCCGUGAAGAGGGAGUGGUCGGAGGACGGGGAGGAGCCGAAGGAGCCGGCGCCGUUCGCCUUCGUCCCCGUGAAGGAGGAGCCCGCUCCGCUCGGCCGCCGCGAAGUCGUCGGGCCCGAGGACUACGUCGCGGACGUCGACGCCGUUGCGGCCGCCAUCGCCGAGCGGAGCGUGCGCGAGAAGGCGGAGCGCCAGCGCCACGCCGAGGAGCUCGAAGACCUCGAGUGGCGGCAGGCGGUCGCUGCCAACGAGAAGGCCAAGAAGGCUCGAAGACCUCCAUCCGCGCGGAGCAGGCGGCGAAGUACGUCGAUCUGUGCAGCUCCGGCGAGGAGGAUUAAGCGUCCCUCGGCCUCCACAGCGUCGUCCAUUUUGCCGCGACCUCGCCGCCGUCAGAUCCGACCCCCUCUAGUACUAGUUAACGUAGCAUGUAGUAUGAUCUAUGCUUAAUUUGUUGAUCAUGUAGUAUGUAUGAACUCUGUAGUAUGUGACGUGAUAAACUAUGUUUGCGCAAUUUCUCCCGCGAAAAUGUUUUUUCAAAUUAUGCAGGUUUAGAUACGGUAUUUGUUCGGCCGCGCUAGUUUUCGACCCGCAAACGCGAUCUUCGUAAAACCGCAAACGCGUUUUGCGGGUCGAAUUUUUGCGGGGUCUGCUAGAAUUGCUCUAAGUCGGAAGCUGGCUUUGCUCCUGCGUCUAUUUGAUUGGACUUGCAAGAAUACUAUCAUUGUAUCCAUCUUACAAAAUCCUUCCUCGUGUUAUAUUCCUUUCUACUGUCUUUUACGUAUAUUACAAGCACAAAUUAUAGCCUGCCACCGUCCCUGAAGACCAUGAAAAGAUAAAUCUCCUUACAUUUUUCUCGGGCGGAUGGAGUGACGAUUCACUUCAAGAAAAGAAGUAAUUAACCAAGAACUUAAUCUAGAUAAGAUCUGUCACACAUGUUCCUUUCAUCCCAGUGGCUGCGCCCACACAAAAUAAACAACAGUGGAACCCAAACAAAUAUACCAGCCACAAUAAUUGCGUUACGAAUACUUGUCGUGUACCACGUACGAAGGUUGACCCCUACGAGUACGUACUAUUCCCGGGAGCUUUUCACCACGAAUCUUCUCCUUGCAACUCGAUCACAUGCAUGCACACCUAUUCUAUCCCGGGGACAGCCGCCGUCCAUGUCACUGUCACAAUAUAUAUUUUGCUGGUGGAUUUGAUAUGUGGAUCGACCGAUUUGAAAUAUGUCUGUACGACCGGUGUGAGUCAUGCGCGCGAGACUCCGGCCGUGGGCUGUGCAGCCGGGGGAGGCACAGGUCCAACUACAACUGUCCAAGAGCGCACCUAACAUGGGUGUGUCACGAAUCACGUUUGAUUAUUAUGCGUGCAAUGAUAUAUUUGUUGAUUAUUAAUGCGUGUGUGUACUGGAUGGGGGCAUUAUUUGCAGUAGUGACGAUUUGUGGCGAGGGCGGGGGGACAUGUCUGGAUAUAUAGGUCUCGGCAGCAUGUGGAUCCAAUGAUUGCUGCAUCAUAACAUGCCAUGGGAUUGGUAACCACUGGCUCACUUUUUACAAGUCUGUCUUUUGGAAACGUUGCCGUAUGUAAAACUUUGUGGGUCAUCGUACUUUUUUUACAAUAUAAAGAAAAAUUAUUCACUCGAUCGUCGUAUAAGGGCAUCUUCGACGGUGGCCCUCAAACCUACCGCAUACAUCCGAACCACGGAAGUCAUCCGUGUCCGUGACUGCGCCCUGCCAGCAGAGGUCGGCGAUGACACGGCGUCCAGCACGUCCGUGCCCGCCGUUGAGGUCAUCGAGGAGAAGUAGAACACUGGAGGCCGCCGCCGCUUGGGUCCCCUGAAGGCCACCGUCGAAGCGACGCCGGCAUGCACAGCCGGUGUCUUGCCCGGUCGCAGGACAUCGUCGUCCCCUUCCCCUCCGGCGGAAGCACAUCGUGGGGGUUCCACUCUAAUGAGCGGCGCUACCAUCGUCAACCCCCACCUAGGCUUCAUGGAUGCGAAGCCCCCAACCCUCUUCGGCUGAAGCACCCCCUUUGCCAUUCCGAUGAGCGGCGCAACCGGACAUAGCGAAGAUAUAGGGAAAGAACAUACCUCCGGUGCUGCCCUUUCGUCCGGUCUGUAGACUAGUCCCUCUGUCCGCGGACGAAUGCGGGAGAAAAUUUGCGGUUGCCGAUGCCCUAAGGUGGUAAAACCAUAAGGAAGGUUCAAAAGCCACAUCACUUAUGCAUAACCAUAGUUCGUACUUAAGCACGAAUAACUUCUCUUUGGAUGGAAAAAAACCCGCAGGAUAACCAUUCGUUGGUGUGGUGGAGUUGUGGGUAUCACACGCAUAAAUUCGUGGAAGUGGACAAAUCUGACUCUUUUCAAAAACUUCAACACAACAUGAAUUAGAUCUAAAAAUAUUUCACAAAAUAACUUUUCUUGACGCCUGGGGUUGGGGCGUCAAAUGCUAGAUACCAUGAUGCCUAGGCCUGAGGCACCGUGCUAGACAGCAUGACAUCUUCCGUAGAGGUAGUCGUCGCGCCAUCUAGCAUGGUGCCCUAGGCCAAGGCGCCCCAGCCCGUGGUGUCGUGCUAUCUAGCAUGCCGCCCUAACCCAUGACGUCAUGCAAGGGGAGCAGAUUGUUGAAAAAAUUCAGACUCGGUUCAUUUUGUGCCAAAGAUUCAAAAAGGGUCGGAUGUGUCCAUUUUCACCCCGGUUCAUAUAUACUUUGUGCCACUGAAAUCGGAUUUAUCUUCAGUUUUAUUCAGUUCUAAGGUCACGCUUUAGGGAGCCGACACGUGUGUCAAAGCUUGGGUCACUGAUCCUUAUAAUACUACACUUAUGCAAUGGAUUAGUACAUAAGUAGGUCAACAGUUUUCUCUUAUCAGUGGUACGGUAUAGCUAGUUUGAAACGGGAAGCCAUAUGCAAGAGAAUAAAAAGAAAUUCAGUCUUUUCAAUGUUCCCUUUCAUUGCAUAUUCCGGCUUCCGUGGAAGGAAAUCCGCCACACCGGCUCAUCAAAUUAUGCAGGUUAUUAUAUAUCCGCCACGCCUGUUGCGCUGGUGCAGAUCGAGCUAGUUAAAUCAGCAAAACAUUUCUCAAUAGACAAACCAGAUUGAUAGGUAUUUGUUUCUGAUUCACAGAGUGACAUUUGCCGGCCCCGGUGGUAGAGAGAGGGGCCCAUUUUAAUCAACAGAUCUGCAAAGUAAGCAACAUACUCCCUCUGUAAAUAAAUAUAAAAGCGUUUGGAUCACUAAACGCUCUUAUAUUUCUUUAUAGAGGAAGUAUGUUGCUAGAUUUCAAUAAAAGUUGUCUAGUAACAAACCACGAGGGUGAGGGGCAUGGCCGGCCAGGCACAGGUGUGAGAUCAAGAGUCUAGAACACAUGAUGAAGAGGAUGAACUCAGCUGUUGGAAGGCAGCUUCAGCUUGGCAGGCUGCUGAUCCAAUCCGCUCCAAAUUCUCAAAGAAAACCAUAAUAUAUACUCCCUCCGUUCCUAAAUAUAAGCCUUUUUAAAGAUUUCAGUAUGGACUACAUAUGGAGUAAAAUGAGUAAAUCCACACUCUUAAAUGCGUUUAUAUACAUCCGCAUCCGUAUUGAAGUCUCUAAAAGGGCUUAUAUUUCAAAACGGGGGGAGCAUUUGAGAGCCAAGUUGGGAAAAUGGACAAGUGAGCGUGUGUUGGAGCUUCAGACAGAAGAGGAACCCUAACUCAACAGAAGUACACCAUAAUUCCAACAGAUUCUCAAGUCCAAUGCUAACUCAACAAUCAUUUAUUUCCACGUAGUAAUACACAUAAGCCUAGAGAGCACAUUUAUUCAAGUUCAAAAUUGAAUGGACGACUCACUCGUACUCAAACAGUCUACAAGACUAGAAUUACAUCACCAACCGAUAGUACAUCACAGGACUACAGCGAAACACAAUCGCCAUACUGGAGAAACCGGAACACCACAGAACAACAACUCUAGAUCGCCAGUGUUCUUGCCAACGGCAGCCCCCACGCACCACCGGCAUUCAUCUCAAACCUUCUGGAAGCGGAACUAACACAUCCAACUACACUCAUCAACCAUUCGGAGGCGUCCGAAAGCAAGUUCUGCCUCGAAUAACAGUUGCCUCCAAUAACAGAGAAGACCACGAAAAAGUUUUACAAAAUAAUGGUUGACUCAGAUCAGCUAUGGUCGGUUACAGCCGAAUAGUAUCCUUCUAUAUAUGUACUUCAAGAGAAACCGAUAUCAUGCACAUUCUGAAUUGGAUGCGUUGGUAUCAUCUGAUCAU
rnacentral:lncRNA from 1 species